rnacentral:lncRNA from 1 species
UUUUUUUUUUUUUUUUUGUGUGUGAGGAGAGUUAGGGCCAGAGAAACUUCAAAAUACAAUAUUUCUUUAUGGGUUGGAAGUGUAAAAAUAAAUACUUAAUAUAUUGGUUAUUUUUAAAUUUUAGCAAGAACUUUCUUGGUAAAUCAAAUUUAAAAUGGGACAAAUAUCUAACUAAAUUUGUAAAUUUUAAAAAGUCCAGGGGGGCUUCAGCCCCUCCAGUUCUAAUGUGGCGCCGCCACUGACUAGGACUUAAAUUAAAACUUAAAUGUUGUGAUCACUCGUAUUUGUGUGUGUGUGUUUCUACAAUUACAAUUGAUUUGAUUAUAAUUCCACGUAAAUGUUAAAAAAUAAACAAUCUUUACUUUAAUUAAAAUCACAUGGAAUUCAGUUUUAUUGACGACACAUUGUUUAUCAAGGAAGUAGUAGUACGUUAAUUCGUCGAAUUAUCUAUAAACCUGACUCUAUAUCGUCUACCGUAAAAACAUAAACAACUUGUCAUAUGUAGUAUGCUUCGACGUAUGCUAUUUAUGCAUGUUGGUUGCAUGAAUGUUUGGACAGCCUGUCGUCUAUAAUAUUUUCUGGAGAAUGACAUGAUGGUCGGAAACAAAACAAUAAAUGACGGAUCAUCCAAAACGUUUGUGCCAAUUAAAAUAUUUUUAAUAUUUUAUUAUUAUUGUUGUUAUUGUCAUUAAUUUGAUUAACAUCCAAAGCUAAUAUCAGUACAACCUAAAAUCACUACACCCUCAACAAUAACAAUAACCAUUCAAAAUCCAAGUGGCCUAAGAAGCAUACUAAUUAAUCUUCAAUUAAUCCAAGUGGCUGCAUCUUUAAUAAAGCAAUAAAUUGAACACUGACCUUAACCUGCUGUACGAAUAAUAAUAAUAAUAAUAAUAAUAAUAAUAACAAUAAUUACUAUCAUUAUUAUUGUUAUAUCAUAAUAGAUAAUAAUUAUACUAAGAACAAUUAUUAAUUAAAGAACUUUUGAUAAUUUGUAAUAAUUCAUUCUAAUACUUAAAUAAAGUAAAUACACCAAUAAAAAUAUAACCUAUUUUAAUUCUAAUUUUUAUAGAUAAAGUAAACAACUAAUUAUAAAUAUGAAUUCCGAUUCUAAUAUAUUUUGAUUAGCAAUUGAUAAAUGAACUAUUAAAGCAUUGGAAUUGAAUUACUUUGAAAAGCAAAGAGCAUUAAAGCUAGAUCGGCAUCAGUUGAUCAGUCCAAUAUCGAAAAUUGAAAUGUGUCUAUGGCUUAUAAAGAAGCGAGGGCCCUGUUGAUCGAACUGGGGUCUCCGUGACUAGUGGCUUGCUACCCAAGUUAAGAGAGAUGAUGCUUGAUUUUCAGUUCCUUAUAGAAAAUUUUUUGAAAGACUACAAAGAAGGGCUUAAAAUGAAGUAUUACAAGGUGAUUGGAGAGGAAGCCAGUGAGGAAGUGACAGAGAAGAUGAUUUUGGGAGAUUUCCCUUAUGCAUAAGGGGAAGGGAAGGUUUUCGAGACAAAGAAGAUUUGGCGAUGCAGACUCAGCAAAGGCAAGAGGCUUUGAUGGAGAUACCGAGGGGCUUGACAGAGUUUCAUCUCGUGUUGCUUGACACGGCUGUGUUGGUGGUGGCACAAGAGGAGAAGAUGAAUGAUAUUGAAAAGAAUGUGGCUAAGGGCUGUGCUUACAUCAAUGGUGGCACAAAUGGAUUAUUCUGUGCGGAGCAAAUGAAGAAAAAGAGAAGGAUUUGGGCGUGGUGUGUUGUUUCUUUCGUGCUGGUUUUGCUUUUCGCGUGGCUUAUUUCCAUCUAAGCUUCUUAAAAUUUCAUGAACUGAUGAGUUAGUGCAACGGAGUCUUUUGUUAGUUUGCUUCGAAGGAAGAACAAGAAUGUUCCAAGAAAUUGGCCGCUGGGAUGCAUACAUUUCUGAGUCUUUGAUUUCAGGUGUGUAAUCAAUCUCUUUUAGAGAUUUAAUAAAUCAAUUAAUUUGAGUUUUUGAAAUGUAAUAUACAAAUACAUAAAUGGAAUAAUAUAUACACACAGAAUCCUGUGAGUUCCAAGACUCAAAACCAAUAAGACAAUAAUAACUAAGCACAGAAGAAAGUGAAUCCAGUGUUUUCUUCUGGCAAGUACUGCCUUCCAAGUACUGCCCUCCCAACACCGGUAAUCUUGCGACCCAAGAAAGUGAAUCCAGUGUUUUCUUCUGGCAACACAUUUUUUUGGGCAGCGAUAGCUCCAUUCCCUGUGGAAAGAGAAUGUAUAUGACAACUCCGUAAAAGAGAUAAAAUUGUUCAAAAUUUUUGGUUUUUAGGGGGAAACUAUAAUUGAACUUAAUGAAUUAUGGUAUCUAAGUUCUUUCUCUGUAGCCUAUGAAGAACACUCACUUCAAAGUGGGAGGCAGCAUUUCCACAAAUGAAAUCCGUGGCUCCUUCAAUGGCAUAAGAAGUGUCUUUUAGUUCUUGGAAUAUUUUUUAAUUAUGGAAGAAAAGUGGAUUAAUAUCAUUAUUGCAAUAAUUGAGUAAGCUUGAGGUUUAGAAUUAAGAGGGUUCAGUGGCUCAAGCUCUAUGUAUUAAUUAAUAAUAAAAUAAUCAUAAUGUUCCAAGGUAAUAUUAAUUAUGUUAUAAAUGUUUUUAUAAUCCAAUGUAUAAGCAUGUUAUACAAUUAUGAACAUUACACUUAAAAAUUGGCGGUAUAAUUAAGAAUAUUAAAAUUAAGAAUAUUCUGAUUAAGAAUAUUUUCACAACCUCAAAAUAAUAUUAAACAAAAUAAUGUAUGCUAUAUAACUAAUAGUUACCACAUGAUCAAACUUUAGAUUGUUUAAUCUUGCAUAUACAUUGUAACUUUUAUGUUAUAAGUUAUCUAACCUAUUUAUACAGAAUUCAACAUCUAAUGCCUGUGAAGAAGUUUAAAUAAAUUUUUAUUUAAACAAUCUACUGGUUUAGCACUGCCACUAUAACGAAUAUUUAUGUAACAACAAGAAUAAAUAAUUCAUACAACUGGGAAGACGUUGAAUUCAAAAGUGGCAAGGCCAAAAUAACGAAAUGUUGAAUUAGUAAAUUUAUGAAUUCCACUAUGUACUUCAUUCUUUUCAGGCCAAAUUUCAAUAAACUUGGGGUUAUUUCAGUGCUAAAAUAUGAUUGUUAAAAUAAUAACAUACAAGACCGUAAAAUUUCCAAUGAUCUUAUUAAUACGAGCUACAGUUACUGAAUUAUUCUUUUGACUUUGGGCAUUCACAAAUCACAAUAAGUUUUUUACCAUUUCAAUAUUAUUUUUCUAUGAAAGCACUACAUUAAAUCAUGUUUUUCAAGCCUUAAAAGCCAUUAAUCUUAUGUCUUCAAUCAACUUCUCCAGGUUACGAUAAGAAGACCCGCCUUCCUUGACAGCAUCACGAGCCAUUUUCGCAAUCUGAACCGUCGACUCCAUGAUCUUAUCCCUUUUGUUAUCCAUCAAGUCCCUUACCAACUUCUCAAUCGUCGAUCUAUCACACGUGUCCUUCAUAUCAAAUCCAAUCUUCCAAAUCUCACUCACACACCUACUGUUAACUUGUUGAUCACCAACUUGUGGCCAACAAAUCAUGGGCACUCCAGCUACCAUGCUCUCCAAAGUUGAAUUCCAGCCGCUAUGAGUCAAAAACCCACCAAUUGCUUGGUGGGCCAGGACCUCCUCUUGUGGAGCCCAGCUAACAAUGCACCCUCUUUCCUUGGUCCCCUGAUCAAGCUCCGCUGGAACUGGGCCAACACCGGACUCUCCAUCAAUCAAGUCCGAUCUUAUGACCCACAAGAACCCUUUUCCACUAUUGACUAUGCCAUGCCAAAACUCUAAAAUUUGGUCGCCGCUAAGCUUGAUGAAACUUCCAAAACUGACAUAUAAUACCGAUCUAGACGGCUGAGAACCCAGCCACGUCAUGCAACUUCUGUCCUCUUUCGAUAAAACACAAUUGUUUGACUCUAACGGGGAUGACUCCACGGAGUCUUCUUGGAUCCGCGACUUCAACAAAGCGUGUAGAGGACCAAUAGUGUAAAUUUUGGUCAAACGAGAACCCAGUUUUGACAUGAUAGGCCCUUCAAUUUCGUUGAAGGUGUUAAUUACGAGAGCUGAAGUUCGAGUCGUGGCAGAGGUAUCCCUAAUAAAGGUCUGCAAAAUGGGAUCAUCGGGUCCUCCAUGUCUACAAAUGCUCGGAAGGUCUCUAUUCCGAAAGAUAUUUUCCAGCUCCGGAAUGCACGUAACGGACUUAUCAAAGUUUUCAUCUGUAAUUUCACAAUAGCAGGCAACAUAUUGCAUGAUGUUACAUGUUACAUGUACAUGUUCAAAUCAAGAUUUCAGUAUUAAAUAUAUAUUUUUUCAAAAAAAAAUGAAAAAGAGAAACCGACCUGUGACCGGAAGUUCCCCUUCUUCAGCAAGCUUGGAAAAAUGAAAGUCCGACCAGGAGCAGUAAGCACUGUACGGUCUAAAAGUGAUUAUAGGAAUGUUAAGCUCUUCGGCAACGUCAAUUGCAAAGGACAUGAUGCUGUCUGAUAUGAUGCAUGUUGGGAGCCGCCCAGGCGUCAUCAGCAGCUGACGGAACGCCAGCUUUGACACGGGUUUAUUGGAACAAAACCAGUCUUUGAUGUAUAUGCCAAACCGUGGAUUAUCGGGCGGCAGACCGUCGGGGAUCGAUGUGCAGAGGAAGUUAGGGAAGUGCUUGUAGAAAGCAGUUACGUCAGUGUUGCCAAAGAGACGAUCGUGGUACUGCUCAGUGUUUACGAAGGUGAUUCGAAACCCUGCAUGGCUAAAAAGCUUGGCUAGCGACAGCAUGGGCUUUAUGUGGCCAUAUGCAGGGAAAGGCAAGAGCACCACGUGAGGAACACGCGUUUGCUCCAUUGACAAAACUUUAAACCUCAAUUUCUUGUGGGAAUUGAGGUACUAGAAACAAGAAUUCAUUUGAUCAGCCCUUCACUUCACGCUAGCUAUAAACAAUACGGUAGUAGGGACAUGGAAAAUGAAGUAUUGUAUAAAACAAGAAGAAAAAAAUAAGGUCCCUUGUUGGAAACAGGAAAGUUGACGUGUGAUGUACAGAUGUAUAACGAUCAUAUUAAACCUUAUAAUAAAAAAUAUAUAUCAUUCUACCUCAAAGCUUUGUGAUUGUUGUUUAAUUAUCUUCAAUGUUUAGGUUAGAGAACCUUUUUAGCAAAGUGAUCGUAAAAAGCUUCCGCUUAAUUAGCAUGUAAAAUAACUCAUUAGUCACAGCUUCUAGCGAUUGCUUGUUAAGUCUAUUAAUAAGCUUAGUUCAUUGGGUUACAAUAUGAAUUUUAAGAUAGAUGGGUAAUUAACAUUAGAGAAUUGAUAAUAGUAAGAUUUAAUCGAACGGUUGAAAAUGAAAGAUAGUUGCCAAUGUUUGUACUUACAUGCUAACGGCAUCAGCUUCUCUAAUACUCUGAUGAAAGAUCCGACUCGGCUUACACUAUUCCGAGCCAAUCCUGCAAUCCUGUCCACUGAUCGCAUGAUUUCCUCUCUUUUAAAUUAAUUCCAUCAAUGCUCUUACCAUACUCUCAAUCGUUGACCUAUCACACGAGUCACGGCUAAGGUUUCAUUUACAAAGAAUUGAAGAAUUGGGUCGUCUAUUUCCUUUGACCUGCAUGAGCUGGGUAGAUCUCGAAGUCGCAAAAUUGCUUCCACUUAUACCACGCCGUUAAUCUCCCUCUCCAUGUCAUCACCUGCGACAUGCUUUCUGCUAGAAAAAUUGAAAAUAAAUAAAAAGGCUAAUUCAUGCAUCAAGACAUCAAAUAUUUAAUCAUAAUCACUAGCAAAACUAGAUAACUCUAUACAUCAUAGGCCUCGUGUGGCUAGGGAUGACAAAAUCCUUUAUGGGUUUGAGGUCCCAUCGAGCUCCACCCUAAAUGAGGCGAAUUUUGAACAAUUUUUGGGGAAUGGGGUGGGGAACGAGAGAAAAAUAAUCUUCAAAUUUUUAAUGAGGCGGGGUUUGAUUUUGUAUUCCCCACCCCUCCCCCACCUCAAUCCCCAUUAUAUAUAAAAAAAAUUAAUUUUUAUUUAAUAGUUUUUAUUUUAUCAAUUAGAAUGGUAGUUAAUAAAUUUUCUUUUUAUUUUUACCUAAUAUAAAUAGACUAUAACUAAAAGAAAACCCAAUAAUAUAAUUCUUAUUUCACUCUAAAAUAUUGUUAUGUUUUCUUUUUUCUUUUAAGGUGCUGCUCUCUUCAAAUAUUUUUCAGUUUUGAUAACAUUUAAAGAUAUUGUUUCAAACUUUUGAAUUUUUUAAACAAUUUAAAUACUUUAUAAUAGGGUGAUGAUUUUAUUUAAGUCUCUAAUUUUUAAUUUACUGAAAUUAUAUAUCCAUACUUACUAUAAAAUAAGUAUAUGGGGAAUGGGGUAGAGAUAGGAAAAUUAUUCCCCACAUGAGAAUUUCCCAUCCCCACCCCACUAAAUUUAUUAGGGAAUGAGGUGGGAAAUGGAGGUAAAAUUUUUAACAACACCGAUAUUCUCACAAAGUUGCACACAAAGAUUUGCACAAAACGAUGCGUUUUGUUCAAGAUUUAAAAGCCUCUUCGUACGUGCACCAAACAACCCACACGCACGUAACAAUUGGCAGCAAUGUUUGUCACUCGCGUCUGCCUCCUUUCACAACAACAAAAUCCACAGAGCAACAAAAACCACAGAGCAACGAAAACCAAACAGCAACGGCUUCGUUCUCCCUCAUUAUCUCAGCACUGUCCUCACUAUCUCAACUCUGUUCUCUCUCAUUCUUGAUGGUUAUGUUAACUCAAAAACCACAUUGAAGCAGUUUGUAAAGCAGUACAGUCAUGUAUUAAAGAGUAAAGUUCAAAAAGAAGUCGAAGAAGAUGCCAAGUGUCUUUCGCAACAAAUGCCAUGCGUAACAUCUUAUGAGAUGGAGAAACAAGUUCAAGAUGUGUACACCAUUUCAAAGUUUCAGGAGUUUUAGAAAGAGUUGACUGGAAAGAUGUAUUGCAAAUUCGUCAAUUCAAUGGGUUGUGAACAUAUAGUCAGAGAAGAUGUUAAAGUUGGAGAGUUUAAGAAACGAAUUUUUUUUUUUAAGUACAUUUUGGAAAAGAAUUUUUUUUUUUUAAGUACAUUUUGAAAAAGAUAAGGGUGAGAUCAGUUGCAAUUGUUCAAUGUUCCAAUUUAGGGGAAUUCUUUGCAAGCAUGCCAUAACAAUCAUGAUACGCAAUGACACGGAAGUACUUCCAAAAAAGUACAUCCUAUGAAGAUGGAGAAAAGAUGUGUGGAGAUGCCAUAGUAAGGUCAAAACGAGUCAUGAGUUGCACAGUUACACAGAUGAGCAAAAACAGUAUGAGAAGAUAUGUGUUAGUUUUGCAGAAGUUGCAAACAUGGAUGCAACAAAUGUUGAGAGUUCUAAUCUUGUUUUGAAUUGGAUUGAGGACGUACGGAAAGAUCUACCAAAGCCAAUUCAAUGCGGAGGUAAUAACACGGGAAUUUCGGGUCAAGGAAGUUGUAGUAACAGCAUGAGAAUUUCAACGAACGCAACUGAGGGAGUACGUGAUCCAGAAGUAAGGCGUCGAAAAGGUCGUCCACCUUGUCAAAGAAAAAAGUCAACAAGGUCUACCAAACCUAAAAAGAAUUCAACACGUUCGGACGUAGAAGUUAAUUUUACCAUUAAUUAAUUAAAAUAAAUUUAUUACAUAAAUGGUGCUCAAAUGAUUUUUUUGUUGACUUUGCAGGAUGGACAUGCAUACAAUAUAUUAUCUUCUCAAGUGUCUGCUGUAAUUUCACAAGGAAGCAAUAUUGUAGCUGUAAGUGAGGCCGAAUUCUUAUCCAUUUUCUUAAUUUUCAUAACUUAAUCCUUACAUAUUUUGAAAUAUAUUGUGGAAUUUAUGUAGACACUUUAAAACGUUGGAGGAAGUGAUAUUGGUACGAAUAUAUACCCAUAUGGAAUUACGAACUACUAUAAUGUAAGUUUUUCACCAUAUAUAUACUUUUUUUCAUUUAUUUUAUCUAUUGUAUUUCUUAUUAUAACAUAAUGUUUGAUUUUUUAUAGCAGCAUGGACAUUUCCAGCAGUUACUCUUUCAGCAAGCUAAUGAAUAUGAAGUGAAUUCGGAGUUUCAACGUGAUUUUGGAAAAUAGCAUUAUACUUGUAUUUUAAUUAUGGAGAAUCAUAUGUUUAACUGAACACAAUUGUGUUUUUUUUUUUUAAUUGUAUUACUCGGUGUGUAAUGAAAUUUUAACUAAAUUUACAAUUAAUGUUAGAAGUACCUUAAUUUUCAUAAACUUAAUUUUCAAAUUAAAGUUGCAAAUAAGAGAAAGUAAUAUGUUCAACCAUAAAUGUAAUUUCCAUUGCAAAUAAGAGAAGUUAUGCAAUACCCCACACCCGAUUUUGACCCUGUUGACCACCCUUAUAAAUUGAGAGAGAGAGAGAGAAAGGAAAGAGAGAAGACAAGAGAGAGAGAGGAGAAACCGAACCGGAUCCAACCCGACCCGCGAGCGCGAACUGGCCGGUUCUCCCAUUUUCGGCCAUCGUUCCGGUCAAGGGUGGUACCGAUUUGAAGCUUGAGAGACGACCAACGUAUCCAUGUCGUUUCCUUGAUUAGGAGGAUCCGCGAACGAGAAUCAACCCGCGGACGUUGUUGAUACCGACUCUGGACUUCGUCACUGUGAAUGGAAUAUACAAAACUUAUUUUCAUAGAUUGUAAAAUGAUUAUUAUUUUUAUUUUUUAAGCAUCUAUCAGUAAGAUACGCCCUGUAGAGGAAUACGCCCUGUAGAGGUCGGGGCGGGUCGUUACAAGUUAAUACAUUAGUUAAAUAUACAAUUUAAAUACAAUAUAUAUUAAAAUAGAUAUAAUUAUUUGUGGGACAUAUUUUACAAUAACACUUGGUUGCGAACUUCGUUGAAGUUCUCUUUCAAGCAAUUCAAAUUUAAGAGACAAGCAUUCCAUUUGAUGCCCUAGCUUGUGCACAUCUCCUAGUAAGAGAUCAAUUUUAUUCUCACUCAUAUUUCAAUCUUCCACCCCUCGAAACUCAUUAGAUUCACUAUUCCUCUAAUCGUCGUCCCAUUCAAAUGCCCCACAUCCUUUGCACUUCCAAAGCUUACGAUUCAGAUUCUCUCUUGUACGUGAAGUUUGUAAGAUCUUAUCAUUGUAGCACUUUUCACAAGUUUUUAUAUGUGGAUUUGGAACUUCACUCAUGCUAGAGGACAUUGUGAUAGAAAUAUCCAACCAAUUUAAGCAACUGAAAAAGGGAAAAAAAUAGCCAUAAUAGUUAGUGAGCCUUAAGUAGCUGGAGGGGGAAAAAAAGAACACACCAGCUACUAAUUAAUUCCACAAGAAAAAAUGGCCACGAUUUUUAGUAGGCAUUAAGCAACUGAAGGUGGAAAAAAUAAUUGGACAGAACAGUUAGUAACAAUACUUGCCCGAGAACUAACAACCACAACAGUUAGUUUUUUAUAUGUAAACUUUAUUUUUUGUAAUUUUCCUAAACCUUCCCCUAAUCAUUUCUGUAUUUUCGUAAAGUUUUCCCUAAUCAUCUCGCCAUAUUCAAUCCAAACCUCUGACCGAUAAAUUUACAUUUCCAAUCACUUAAACCCCUGAAAUAUGCUUUCGCAUUUGUAACCAAAUCAAAUUGGCUACAAGCAAUUAUUCCAAGCACAUUAAGUCAACUAAAUGCAUUCACAAGCCAUUAUCACCAUUCAAACAAAGUACACAACCACUACAUCUGAGGUUAACUACCUGAAUGAAAAUGAAAAAAGCCAACUACCUAAAGCACACAGCCACUUCACGAAUUGGAAUGGUGACCACAAAUUUCUUAAGCAAAAUCUGAAUGAUUAGAAUGAAUUCCUAAAUAACAAUAACCAAUAGUCGAAAUAGGGCAAAAUAAAUGAAUUCGUUCAACAUCCAAAGCUAAUAUCAGUACAACCUAAAAUCACUACACCCUCAACAAUAACAAUAACCAUUCAAAAUCCAAGUGGCCUAAGAAGCAUACUAAUUAAUCUUCAAUUAAUCCAAGUGGCUGCAUCUUUAAUAAAGCAAUAAAUUGAACACUGACCUUAACAAGCCAUGUUAAGCCGAUUGUGUUGGGGGAGAGAGAGCGUUGUAGCUGAGAUCGAGAGAGUGAGGGAGAACAGAGCCACCGAGAAUGAGCGCGAACGGAGCCGAGAGAGUGUGGUAAAAUAGAUCCAGCGAGAAUGAGGGAGCACGAAGUCGAGAGAGUGAGGGAGAAUGGCGUCGAGAGAAUGAAGGAGAACGGAGCUGAGACUAACGGGAUAAGCUACUGGGAUUUGUUGUGUUGACAGAUCGAAAUACGAGUACGCUGCUGUGUGGUUCUCGUUUUGUGUUGUUUUCCAUUGCUGUGAAAGAAGGGAGACGCGAGUGGGAAAAUGAUGCUCUGAAUUGGCGUGCGUGUGAUGUUCGAAAAACAAACAUGUGAUUUUCCUUUUAAAGCUUGCACAAAACGCAUCGUUUUGUGCAAACCUUUGUGUGCAACUUUGUGAGAACAUCAUUUUCGAAUUUUUAAAUGGGUGGAGAAUGAGGUAAACCUCCGCACCCGCACCCCACUCCAUAGCGAUCCCUGCAUGUGACCUUGUGCUGGGAAUGGCAAGUUCAGCAUGUGUAGUUCCACUUGCACUGUGUUGAACUUCAACCUCUCCAUGUUAGUGAUUUGUUUGUGUUUUUUGUUGAGAUAUAUAAGCAAUUAAUUUUGUAUCUUACUCCUGGACUAUCUGCUUUGUCCAAAAUAGUGAAAUGGAAACAAAGUGCACAUGCAAUUGUUGCAGGAAAGACCACUUUUAUCAAUUAUAUAUCAUGUGCAUGGUUCACUUUCUGGGUCUUGUACCCAAAACAACCGAGCUUAAAGAAUGAGUCCUGCUAAUAAAAUAAUUGGGCUAAGUUUUCCAUAAAACAAAAUGGGCUCGGCAAUUCCGAUUUCCAAUGAGUACCCCUUUCUGACACCCAUAUGAAUUUCUUAUAAAAUCCUUUUUUAACUAAAAUUAUUCAAAUAAUUAAAGAAAAAUUAUUUCAUUUCUUAAUUUUAAUAAAAAGUUUAAAUUAAAUACUUAAAAUAAAUUGUUUUUUUAACAAAUUUUUACACCAUCUUAUUUUCUAAUUUAUAUUUCUAUUUGAAUUUAUUUUUUUCAAAGAAGUUAGUAGAAUUUAGAGUUAUGAAGAUAAAAAAUUAAGUAAUAAGAAGAAAAUAGUUUAAGAUCUUAGGAAUUGUACGCAUUUCAUAAUAAAAACUUGAAAAGAUGCUAUAACACCCGUUCCUUGUUUAUUAUAAUUUAUUUUUUCAAAAUAAAUUAUAAGGGAAUAUCUAUCACUAAUAAAAGUAUGUGUUUUUAUAAAACUUAAACUCUUCCAACCUCUCUACGAUUUAAAACUCUUUAAUUAAACAAAAGUAUAAAAGCAAAGGAUUCUAGGGUUUUCUUUUAUGCCCAUUUGAAAGAAAUUUUGAGGUAUUUAUCCUUCUUUAAUACAUUUUCUUUAAUGCGAUCUUAUGUGUUUGAUGAUGAAUACAUACAUUGUUCUUUUUAUCAUGAAUGACUAGUUACGUAUUAUGAGGUAUGAAUAGUGUGAUUUGAUUAUUGUUUUUCCUUUAUUUUUUUAUUUGAUUUCUGCACAAAAGUUUCCAUAAAAUUAAAGUAGACAUCCUAAGGUUUUCAAUGAUAAAAUUUAACAUUUUAUGAUGAAGUUUAUUAUGUCUAAAACAAACUUUUAUGUAUCAUAAGUUUGUUUAUAUAAAAAAACAAGAAUAUUUUUAUUGUAAACUAUUCAUGUAAUAAAUAUUACUAUGUCUAAAAUGAGUAAGAAAAUAACUUUUUAAAAUAUCAUGGUUUAUAUGAUAUAAUACAUAUCUUGAAUAUCAACAAAAGUUUAUAUUAAGCAGCAGAUUAAAGGAUAAAUAUAGGAAAACAAUUUAUGUCAUCAUGUAUCUAUUAUGGUUUAUGACCAAUAAAGUUUACAAUUGACCUGAAGAAUAGUAUUAAAUUCUCCUUAGAAUUUACAGAGAGAGUGAUCAAAAGCUAUUCUCAUUUUCAAGUAUACAACCAUUCUCAUUUUCUAUCAUAAAAGAUGACUUGUUGCCGUGGACGUAGACCAAAGGCUGAACCAUGUAAACAUCAUGUGUUCUUUAUAUUUAUGUUUGGUUUAUUAUAUUUUUAAUUUGAGGUCGAGAUUGUUCUUCAUGUAUGAGCUUACUUGAGUUACCCCAGUUAUACUAAUUAUUUUAUGAGACCACUAGAGCUAUCCCCUAAAUAUACUUGAACUCCUCCUAAGCACACAUUAGUCUCCCAUAUCAACUCCAUAAAUUAACUCCUAUGGGGUUCUACUGAGUUCUCUCUAUUGUUCCUUAUAUGACCACCUCAGUUCACUACACAUAUCACUUUAGUUCGCCAUCUAGUAUACCUCAGUUGAACCACCUGUCCAAACAUUAGAAAAAUACACCUAAACCCAAACUUAGUACAAGCACCCAUCAUUACUAGAAAAAUAGGCUACCAUGAAAUAAUUUUUGUGAUAGAAAUUAAAAAAUUAAUCAUUUAUCACAAGAAUAAGACAAACACAUGAUAGAGUAUUCAUAUAUCAUAAAGACAUGAUAGAUUUGUGAUAGUUUAUUUAUCUAUCACAUACAUAUGUAGUUUAUUUAUCUAUUAAAUACAUAUGAUAUCAUAUUAAUAUUUAAUGAAACGAGGAGUUUAUAAUAGGCCAAUUUGGGCAUGGAAUGACACUCUAUCUUGAAACCGCUAAGAAAAUUUUAAGUGUUGGAUUCUUCUUUAACUUCACAUGCCAAACCCUAAUUUCUGAAUCCAAUCCUAAUCACACACAAAUACAUAAUCACACUGCCGACAACAAAUUUGGUCCCCUGUUGUGCUGCUUGUCGACAACAAAUUGUUGCUCUUUGUUUUCAUCCAAAUCCUUAUUUCCCAGCUUGCUGGCUAUUUCCACUUCCUUUUGUUUCAUAGAUUAAUGGUUGUUGUUGGUAGCCCGCUACCUUUUUCAACUCCAAGCUAUAGCUAAUGUCUUUUUAACAUAGAUUUUAUGGUGCGUUUACUUCAUGGAAUGGGAGUGGGGUGGAAUGAGAAUAUGAUGAAAUAGGAAUGAGGAAUGAGAAUGAGAUUCCAAUGUUUACUUGGCUAAAAUAAAUGAGAAUGAGAAUGUGCUGGAAUGCCAUUGAUGUGUUUACUUGGCAAAAUAAAUGGGAAUGAGGAAUGAAAAUGAAAAUCAAUUUACCAAAACACCCAUAGGAUUAAAUAAUGUAAUUUUCAUUAACUAGAUACAUAUAUAAAUAUUAUUAUAAAAAUGAUAUUAAUUAAAAAAUAAAAUUAAUAAUAAUAAUAAUAAAUGUUAAUAAUGAUAAUAUUAAUAAAAAUAAUAAUAACAAUAAUUAAUAAUAACUAAAAUAAUAAAGUUAAGCCUUGGCCGUACAGCAGAUAAUGACAUUUAAAAUAAUAAAAUUAAUUGUGAUUUGAACGAGGGUAAUUCGGAAAAUAUGAAAAAAUUAAAGGAAUACAAAAGUAUGUUAGCCUAAAGGGAUACACAUAAUAUAAUUUUGAUGAUAACAAACAUGUGUCUUCAGUAAAAAUAAUAAAUAUUGUAUUUCACAUUUUCACUAGUUUUUGAAGGAUAAUAUUUAUGCAAGUGAAUUAAGUGAAAUCAAGCUCAAUACACUCAACGGACAACGACGAAAUCAAGAAUAAAGUUUAGAGCUCAACGGAUAAAUUAGUGCGAUAAAUUCUUGUAAAGCCAGUAUGAUUUAAUUGAUGCAUGAUUUAACAUUUGAGAAGCUCAAGAGAUUAAUUUAAUUAAUUACUUUUUAUAAACUAAAAGGUUUUAUUUUUAUAAGAUAAAGCACCUUGUGGCUUUGAGUAAUUUGGACUUAAAUGUAAAGUUUUGAAAUCUUUGAUUUUAAUAAGUAUUAUUAUUAAAUUUCAGAGUUGGACGUUUUUACAAACAUUUGAAAUGUUUUGAGCCAUACUAUAAUUUAUGUAUAUUUUGGACCAAAGUGAAAGGUUUUGAGAACGCUGAGAAAUAUGGGUAUUAUGUUGAAAAUGACCUUUUUGCACAAUAAUAAUAUCUUUGGGGCCAUAGCAUAAUUUCAGAAAGUUUUGGAAAAAUAAUUAUUCUUAAGAAAUUCUGAAAUUGGACCUAUUUACAACACUUUAUGACAUUUUGGGCCGUAGUAUAAUUAUAAAAAGUAUAAUUUUAGUGAACAGUAUUACUGUAGCAAAAUUCAAAAAUAACGGUAAUAUCACUGUUCAUGAGCGGCUAGCCGGAUAAAUCAAGCGGCUAACCGCUUGGGCGUGGGAGUUUACCUAUAACGGCUAGUUUUCGAGCUUUAACUAUAAAAACUCAACUCAAACUUCAUUUUAAUAACUAAUACAAGGAAAAAUAAGAUCAUAUAACAUAUAUUGAGCUUCCAUUUCGCAAAUCAUCAUUUAUUGAAUCAUUAUUGAGCUAUAAUUUGUUAUCUACUCUUAAAGAGAGUUUCAUUAUUGUGAUUUUCAUUUCUCAUCAAAUUGUGAGUGUACAAGUGUGAGAACCACUUGGGGUGAAGAGAUUGAGGAGUUAAUCUCUUGUUGUAAAGGUCAAUUGACACAUUGGAAGUCAAUUGUAAACAUUUGAAGCAUUGGGAGGCUUGGAUAGUGAAAUCCUCAAGCCGGGUGUGCUUGGAGGCGUGGACGUAGGCGGGGAUAGCCGAACCAUGUAAAAAUCCUUGUGUUUGUUUUCUCUUCCCUUGCUCUUUUAAUAUUGUGCUUGAUUGAAUUUAUUGUUUUUGAUUUGAUUAAGGCAAUAGAUUAAAUUGUUGUGCGAAUUGUAUUGCAUAAUUGUAAAAUCCCAAUUCACCCCCCCUCUUGGGUUGCAUAACUUGCAUUUCAAAGUAAACAUGAGUUUCAUUCCUAUUCCUUCAUUCUCAUUACCAACCCCCUCCAUGGGAAUGGAAUUCCCAUUCAUUAUUCUCAAAUUGUGUGGGACCCAUACAUUUUAUUCCCAUUCUCAAAUUACAUUUUGCCAAGUAAACAUGGGUUUCAUUCCUAUUCCUUCAUUCACAUUUUCUAAACCCUCAAGUAAACACACCAUUAGACUUUGAGCAGCUGAUCUUCUUCAAGUUCGAGCUGUUGCUAUUGUCUUCUUUCGUGAGAGGUAAGUGGCGGGUUCCUUUUUUUUUUUUUUUAAAAAAAGUAACAGCUGCCAUAAAUUUCUUAAAACUUUUUAAAAAAAAGUAACAGCUGCCAUAAAUUUCUUAAAACUCCAAUUGCUAGGACAUUUAUAUAUAUUUUUUCAUUUUCUAUCAUAAUUUGUUUUUUUGCUAUACAAGUUAAUUAAGCAAAAUUAAUUUUCUUGAUGUGGAUCAAGUCAAAAUAAAAUAAAAGGCAUUCUUAUAUUACUAGACAUAUGAAAAAUCAAUAAAUUUGGAUCUAAUUUUUAGUUUUGUACAUAUUUUAUGUAGUUUCAAACUUUACUUCUUACUUAUAUUAAAAGAUCAUUUGGGAUUGCUAUCUAAGAGAUUUUUUGAAGGAUGCAAAAUCACUUAUUAUACAAAUAAUUUUGAAAAAUAUAAAAAAAAAAGUUUUUCAAAAUUUGAUUUUGAAAUAAAUUUUAUCCUCAACAAAAUUUCACAUAUAUAAUCACAUGUAUUAUAUAAACCCCAAAUUAUUAUUAUUUAAUUUAAAAAUAAAAACAGUAAAUAUAUAAAGUAAUGAUGAUUAUAAUGAUUUUAUGAUCAGUGGAGACAAGCGCAUCUCUUAUUUCUUGCAGAACAUUCUUUUCUGGUAAAAUAUUGAACAGCAAUGUUUAAUCUUCAUCUCAUCUAUAAUUUCCGAUGAUGUUACAUAUUGUCAAUGAUUGAUCAUGCAUGGUUAGUAGUCAGCUAGUGCUAUUAACUGUUUUGCAAUUUGUUUUACUUUCUUCUUCCUUUACUGUCUUUGACUUUUUGGUUUUGUGGAGGAUAACUUGGCAACUAUAUUGUUAUUUUAUGAUAAUGAACCAAAAACAAAAAAAUUAAUUAAAUGGUAUAAAAUAAUUAGUACGUUGAUCACUUUGAUUAUGGCAAUUUAUAAUAUCACAAUAUUUAUGUAUUAAAAGAAAUAAAAUUACAUUAAAUGAAACUAGAAUAUGUUGUGACAAACCACUCAUUUUGUUCUCACUAAAUUUAAGUCAAAUCAAUAUAUGGAAUAAUUUUGUUACUUAGGAUUUUAUAAAAUGAUGGUAUCAAUCAUCAUUUCACCCAUAGCCUUUGUGAAAACAUAUGUGACUUGCCAUCCAUAUUUUCUUACCCUAAUUACAAUUAGAUGUUAAUUAAAUGAAGCAGCACCAAAUCUAAACAAAAAUAAUAAUAAAGAGAUGAGGGGAAUUCUAUUACCUUUCUAAACCCAAUUCCUUCAUUUUCUUUCGAGCAUCUUCAUCAUUUUCAAGGGCUUGUUUGGAUUUCACAGCCAACUCUAUUUCUUUUUCAACGUCCAAUUUUGGUUCAGUUUUGGAGUUAUUGAAGUUUAAUUCUCUUGCUAUCGUAUCCCCCAUGCUGAAUGGCUUCUCCAUAAUCCUUGUCUCUUUCCAUUAACAUAUGCUGUGAAUAAUUUUGAAAGAAGGAUAAUAACAUUUCAAUCCCCGAUUUCUGGCAAAAGCUUAAGGAAACUAAAAUUGCAUUUUGCCUUUCACACAGGUCCUGCUGACUUUUGCGAACAUUAUAAGUUUUAGACACACUUGCCUGUUGAUACGUGCACAAAAACCUUAAGCUUCUUGCACUUCUUUGCAAAAUUCAUGACAUGGGAAGGUCCUCUUGUGUUUAUAUCGAUAGCAAUGUCAUAUCUGCAAUUACAAAUUAAAGUACUUGAUGCCACUUAGAUUAUACAUAUAAAUAAUUACGUACAAUAUUUUUUUUAAAAAUAUAUACUGUCGCGUAGCGAGAUUUCAAAUCACUAGAAACAAAUUUAACUUACUGUAAAAAAAUAGAUUUUUCUCGCAAGUAUUUUUAAAUAAUCAGAAAAAUAUGGUAGGCAGAGAAAAAAUAACUAUAGACCAUAUUAAUAUAUAAUCUUGUAUGAUCUGUUAUAUAUAGAAUAAUAUAACAUGAUAUUUAAAUUCUAAACAUAAUAAUAGCGAAAUAAAUUCAAAGUAUGGGGCAAACCAAAUUUUUCUGUAACAAAGUUUUACAAAUAUUACCUAAUAUUAAUAAUAUCAACCGUUGACUAACAAUGAAGGUGGAAUUCUUUCUUUUUUCUUUUUCAUUUUCUGAAAAAAUAGGGGAGCGGCAAAAAAUAAUUAGUUUUUCCCUUCCCUCCUAUAAGAUUGCAACUCGAGUAACUACUUAAAUAAAAUUACUUAAAAACCACUUUGUGAAUUGAGGACCAUCAACCUAACUAGUGACCAAUGGAACUUAAGUCUUUGGUGCAAGAAUUUUUUCUUUACAAUUCCUGUAAAAUUGAGUAAUGAUAGACAUUUUAAUUUUUUUUAAUCCCAAAUAGUAUGUCAUUUAUUGAGUGGUAGGUAAUUAUUGGCAAGAUCUAAGUGAAUUAGUUGUAUUAUCUCAUCAACCAAUUGAUCAAUAUUACAUCAUUUGAUUGACUUUAUUUAACUUGAUUUUGGUAGGCAAAACCACUGUCAGACUAUCCAUCCAUUAUGCUCGAAAAGAAAAGCAUACCCUGCACCUUUUUUAGGUUAACUUGAUAGUUUUUUGAAAUAAAAAAAUUUAGAAUGUGUAGUAUUACUCUAAAAUUUUAUUUGAACUCCUUAAUUAACUAAGUCGUCAUUGAUUUAUUUAAUUAUUUUUUAGUUGAAUGAGAGAAUUUGUUUGAGAUAAGCCGCUUAAUAAUUCUCAAAUUAGUAAUCCAUAUUCUUUAUUUUUGUUUUUCAUUUUGCUUUUAAACAACAUUUUUCGCUCAAUCAUUCUACUUGCUCAUUUAUUUUGACAUUGAUUGUGCAAGAAUGAAAAUGCAAUUGUGAGAAUAGAUGAUAUUUACACUUUGCUUACUAUAGUCGUGCCAGUCAUCCCAUCCUGGUGGCUGUAUUACACCAGACAUGUAAGUAAGGGCAUAAACCACCCUAGAAUAAGUCCCCCAUGGCCUUCCAAGUACUGCCUUCCCAACACCGGUAAUCUUGCAACCCAAGAAAGUGAUUCCAGUUUUUUCUUCUGGCAACACUUUUUUUUGGGCAGUGAUAGCUCCAUUCCCCGUGGAAAGAGAAUGUAUAUGACAACUCUGUAAAAGAGAUAAAAUUGUUGAAAAUUUUUGGUUUUUAGGGGGAAACUGUAAUUGAACUUAAUGAAUUAUGGUAUCUAAGUUCUUUCUCUGUAGUCUAUGAAGAACACUCACUUCAAAGAGGGAGGCAGCAUCUCCACAAAUGAAAUCCGUGGCUCCUUCAAUGUAACAGUUGCAGUAGUAAUGGUUUCCAGUAUCAUCCAAGAGAGUAUCUUGAUAAGACAGGAUCCUGCACCCAUAGAAUGCUGCUCUAUCUGCUGACACUCUUAGUGCAACAGCUUUGCCGGCUGACCCAUAAGUGUUCUGUUGAUGUUGUUCAAGAUAUAAAUUAGGAGAUCUACUAUGAUUCAGUUUUCAAAUUUUGCAUGCAACUAAUCAUAAAGUUAAUUACUAAUUUAAAAAAUGAGCAUCAUAAUACCAACACUGAAAUAUAAUGCAAGUAAAUACCUCAAUGGUUAGAAAUCUUCCAACGAAAUCAUCUGCCAACACAGUGAAUGUUGCAGAUUCAAAAAUCUCCCCACCAUCACUCCAAGUUAUUAUGGUGCUAGAAGCCUUUGUGCCACUUAUCGUAAUGAAAGGCUUAUCAGCAGGAACAGCAAUCUUUUCUCUGCAGACGCACAUGCAAUAAAAUUUCCAUAUACGGUCAAAUUAAGGCAGCCGGAGAUACCAAGCUUGCAAAUAAAUGUACCUGUAUGUUCCUGGCUUAACUCGGAUGAAAACAGUUUCCGAGUUAUUAGACGGCACAGAAUCAAUGGCAUCCUGUAUCUUCUUAAAAUCUCCUUUGCCAGAUUGAUCAACUGAACGAGAAUGGCAGUAGACAAAUCCAUGGAGCUAGUAGCAGCAGUGCUGGUAGCCAUGAGUGAAGCAAAAACAAUUGUGGCCAGAAACAUAAUGUUAACAUACUUCAUUGUAGCAGAACCCAUGUGCAUGUGCUCAAAUUUUAAUUUGUUCUCGAUGGAGUUGAAAGAAUAAAAUCUCCAAUAAACUAAAUAUGCUUCAGGGAAGGAACGAAGCAACGUUGCACAGAAUUUACUGAGGCAUUUAGGUUUGUAGACCUUAUUAUAUAUGGCAUGCCCAGAUGAAAGUCGACCAAAUUGAUGGCUUGUAGCCGAUUUCUUGCAGUUGAACUAAAAGAUGGCCAUCUUAACGUAAACAUUAAAGUACAUUAGAGAAUUAAGGAUACUGUGAGCAGAAGCAUCACUAGCUGAUUUUGCUUGAAAUACAAGAUUGCAUAACGUGUGUGAAAUCUUAGUUUACGUGCUACAUGAUUACUUAUUCAGGUCCAGUCAUCACCCAUCAGCGAUGAGAUUAAUUGCAAAAGUAAAAACUCAGAAAAUUUUCUAUCAGGCCAUGUUGUAUUUGUUAGUUAAUCUUGACAUAAUUAACUUAAUUAUUCUCCGUACUCGACUGCAGCUUUCCCAUUAAAUUAAGUUGGUUGUUUAUUGAACAUGAUCAAACCCGCCUACCAUUUACAGCAUUUAUACUAUUGCUUGCAUGUAUUGUUUAUGGACGAGGAUUUGUUUGGUCAUUUCUGACGAAUGAAAGUCGUAUACGUAGUUACCUUGAUUUGGAUAAAGAGUAAGAAACAACUAUAUACUCUUAAUUUGGAACAGACACUAAGCAGAAUCAAAUCAGACUCCAUGUAAUUGACAAAUCUUGUAGCUUCUGUUUUAAGGGGGCCGAUGAACCAAAAGUAAGGAGCCAUAUAAAUGUCAAAAGAAAAUUUUCAGUUUUAAGGCAUCGGAGGGAUGGCAAAAGAUAUCAGCAAAGAUUCCAUGUCACAUGAAAAAAGCUUCAAGCCCACGUCCUUAGAAAGUUAAUAUUAUUGUGGCAAUUAAAAAUGAUAUUAAUUAAGGAAAAAAAUUAAAAAUUUUAAAUACAAGAAAAAUCAAAAGGUUAAUGUAUGAUUUCACGGGCAAAUAAUAGCCAAAUACGUGAUAAUAAUAGUUUGGUUUCUAUAAUAUUGCCAGCUCACAACCGUUGGAUAUAAGGUUUUAUUAUUAAUAUUUUUCAAAGUCAAGAGCUGUUAACUCCCUAAAACAAAUAACAGUUUAUGGACUACAACUAAAAAAGGUAUUCAAACUUACAGGAAAGAACUAUCAUUCUCCUAAAUUAAAAGGCUAUCUAAAUUAUGUCAUUGUCUAUCUGUAUAUGUUAACUUUAGAUGAUAGCUGAGGGUGAGAAUGAAAAAUCGUCCAGUCUCAAGUGAUGUUAACAUGACAAGUCAUAUGACAGCAACAAUCUCUAAAUAGACCUAUCUUUAUUUGUUAGUUUCUAAUUAAGUAGAGUAAGUAAAGGUUUAUAUCUAAUUUCACCUGGGGGCAGGGAAAGCCAUAUAUUGAAAGGUGUAGAAAAAGUUGAUCAUUAACGUAUAUGGGUUCUGUUACAAUGAAGAAUUAUAGUCAAAAUGUUAGCAUUCUGUUUGUUGCAACAACAAUUGUUUUUGCUUCAAUCACGGCUACCUGCGGCUCCACUGCUACAAUUCCCAAAGAUUUCUCCACUGCUGUUCUCAUUAGAGUUGAAAAAUACGGCAGAGGAGAUUUUAGGACCAUACAAGAAGCCAUUGAUUCUGUACCAGAUAAUAACUCAGAAUUGGUUUUCAUUUCGGUUGCCCCAGGAAUUUACAGGUCAAUAAUUAAAUGUUACAUUUCUUUUAUAUAUAUUUUCAAUUGAAUUUUGUUGGUUUCAAUAGCUGGAACUCAAUACACAAUUUCUUCUAUAUGUUUGCAUGUGCUUGAUCAUAUAUAUGCAGAGAAAAGAUUAUUGUGCCUGCUAAUAAGCCCUUCAUAACAAUCAGUGGCACAAAGGCAUCUCGCACCAAAAUAACAUGGAGUGAUGGUGGCUCCAUCCUUGAUUCUGCAACUCUCACUGUGUUGGCUUCUCAUUUUGUUGCGCGAUCUCUAACGAUUCAGGUACGUAUUUGCUUUGCAGUAUUCGUAUAUGAUCAAGUCCUUGAUUGCUAGCCAUCAUUUACGUAUAUAACUUAUACCUUGAAAAAUUAAUAUAUUACAGAACACAUAUGGAUCAUACGGCAAAGCAGUUGCGCUAAGAGUCUCUGCAGAUAGAGCAGCAUUUUACGGCUGCAGGAUCCUGUCUUACCAACAUACACUGCUAGAUGACACUGGAAAUCAUUAUUAUAGCAAAUGCUACAUCGAAGGAGCCACGGAUUUCAUCAGCGGAAACGCUAACUCCCUCUUUGAAGUGAGUACUCAUUCUCAUUACGCUACCUUAAUUUCCAGCAUAAACAAUUAAUUAAUUAAGUUUCACAACAUUGACUCAUGACCUUAAUUUGCAGAGAUGCCUUAUACAUUCUCUUUCCACGUGGGGCGGAGCUAUAACUGCUCAGAAAAGAGUGUCAUCAGAGGAAAACACUGGAUUCACUUUCUUGGAUUGCAAGAUUUCCGGCGUUGGUAAGGCAGUGCUUGGAAGGCCCUGGGGUCCUUAUUCUAGGGUUGUGUAUGCCCUGACUUACAUGUCCGAUGUGAUACUGCCCCAAGGAUGGAAUGAUCUGAACGACCAUGCCAUGCAGAAGUAUAUCAUUUAUUCAAUUAAUCUGCUUUAAUAGUAUGUGUACCAAAUUGAAAUUAACCACAUACAGGCCAGGUGUUUAACUUGUUUCAUUGUUUUUGAUGUGUUGAUUUUGCAGAAAGUUGUACUACGGUGAAUACAGGUGUUCGGGUCCGGGAGCUGAUAGAUCAAAAAGGGUUGCUUGGUCAAACAGCUUAUCAGAUGUUGAAGCAUCUAUGUUCUUGUCCAAGGACUUGACUGGUGGGGGGGCUUGGCUUAGAAAUGCAGCUCUCAAAUUCAAGGAUGAUUUCACAAUUAAUGAUGCAAACACUAAAGGGAAUAGAUAGCAUUUUUUGUUGGUGUAUGAUUUGUUUCAUUUCACCUUAAUUUUUGUAUUACAUUUUUAAAAUAGAGAUAAAUAAUUAUUCAUUCAUUCUUUAAAAUUUUGAUAACUACCAAAGAGAUUAAUAUUAUCCACGGCUUUAGAAACCAUGGGAUAAUUGCGUACAUCAUCAAACAAAUCAUAGAGUUGUAAAACACAAAUGAAAAACAAUCACAGAGUUAUAAAACACAAAUGAAAUACAUGCAUGUAGUCUUAUUAUUAUAAUCCUUACAAAUAUCCGUAUUUUUUAAAAUGUCGAUUCGAAAUUUUACAAUAUUGUAAAAAACUUUUACAAUGUUGUAAAAUCCUAAAUCCAUAUUAAAAAAAAUGAGGACAUUCUCAUCUAAGAGUCAUGGGCGUGCGGUAAUAGUUCCACAUUGAUUUGAAUCAACCAAUGUUCUCUAAUUUUUAAUAAGAUUCGGCUAGAAGCAUACAAUAAAUGUUGCAACAAACAUUUUGACUAUUGUUCUUCAUUGUAGCAAACUCAUGUUGAAUUGAUGAUCAACUUUUUUCGUGUUGAUGGAAUUGUAAGGGAAUAGACUAUUGAAUUAACAAAACUACUCACAGAAAUUGCUGAUGCAUUAAGGUUAAUUUGUACACCUUUUUGUAUUAGACCUGCCCAAGUCAUAUGACUUGUAAUGUCCACAUAACUUAAUGAUUUUCCAUUCUCAGCCCCAGAUUUCAAUCUUAAGUUAACAUAAACAAAUAGAUUUUGGUUCAAUAUAGAUACCCUUUAAUUCAGAAGAGUGAUAAUGUCUUUCCUGUAAGUUUAAAUACCGUUUUUAGUUAUAAUCCAUGCUGUUAGUUGUAUCAAGGAGUUGUCGGCUCUUUACAUGAUAUCUGACGGUCCUGAGAUAGCAGUAGGAACUACAACUAAUAUUUCUAAAUAUAUAGUUAUACUGGCCAAAAUAUUAUUAUGACAAUUAAAGGGGUAGUUGGCUAUCAUUGGCCAUGAAAAUUAUAAAUUGAUUUUUUGAUUUUUGUAUUUAGCAUUUAAAUUUUAUUUCUUGGCAUCAUUUUUAUUAUGACAAUUAUGUGGCUUAUGUGUAGCUAUCUCUCUUAUAUAUGAUAAUGAAAUGAUAUGAUAAAUAACCAUAGACAUGACAUCUUGUAAAAGUAUCUGGAUUUAACUCGGAUGAAAAAAUUAGCUUCACUACUAAAUUGAAAUAUUCAUUUAGGUUUUACUUCUUUGGUAAUUAAUUUUGGGGUGAGCAUAAUUUUAAAUGGAGUGUUUGUAAACUUUAAUUGCGUGAUAAAACACAAAUUCAACCUCUCUUGGGACAAGAAAUAUUCAUUUAGGUUUUACUUUCACUACUAAAUUGAAAUAUUCAUUUAGGUUUUACUUCUUUGGUAAUUAAUUUUGGGGUGAGCAUAAUUUUAAAUGGAGUGUUUGUAAACUUUAAUUGCGUGAUAAAACACAAAUUCAACCUCUCUUGGGACAAAAAAAAUCAUCACUGGGUCUAAAAAGUUCAUGACCCAUUGGGUCAAAAGGAACCAUAUAUAAGAAUGGCAAAAAGAGCCGGCCUCAAUUUUAACCCGAUUGACCUGAUCAGAAUCUUUCGGGAUUUAACCCAAAUUUAAGGGUUUCGGGUCGGGCUUGGACCUAAAAAUCAGGGCCUAAUUAAAUUCGAGUCAAGAUUCAGGGCUUACCUAGCCUGGUUGACCCGACUCGAAUUCAAAAAUAAAAAAUGAUUUUAUUUGUAUAAUUUUAUAAAAUAUAAUUUGGAUUAUGUUUAUUUUAUUAUUCAUAUAAUGAUAUGAUUGAGACAUUGAGUAAUGUUGAUAUUUAUGCUUAAUUUUAAUACACACACAUAUGCCAUGUCCAUUUUUUUUAAAUUUUAUUUACUUAAAUAUAAAAAAAUCUUUAACAAAUUUAUGAAAUUUAGUAUGGACAAAAGCCCGACCAGACUCGAAAUUCAAUGAUCGGGCUCUCUUUCAGGUUGAGAUUUUUAUUUUUUUGAUCGGGUCGGGUUCAAGCUUGACCAAUUGCCAUCCCUAGUCAUAUACAUGUUUUUCCAAGCCAGUUUUAGAGACUAUUUAUUUGUGAUGUUUAUUGUAAAAAGUACAAAUGAGCUUUAGUAAGAGUUGUGACAUUUGAUCCCUCAAUUUAUAAGAAUGGAAAAAAGAGCCGGCUCCAAUUUUGGCCUGAUUGACCUAACCAAAAGGGUUUUGACCCGAAUUUAAGGGUUUCGAGCCAAGUUUAGGCCUAAAAAUCAGGGCCCAAUUAAACUCGGGUCAAGAUUCAGGACCUACUUGGCUUGGCUGACCUGACCCGUAUUAAAAAAAAAAUGAUUUUAUUUGUAUAAUUUUAUAAAACAUAGUUUUGGAUUAUGUUUAUUUUAUUAUUUAUCUAAUUAUAUGGUGAGCUGUUGAGUAAUUUUUAUAUUUAUGUUAAAUUUUAAUAUGUAUAGGAGGUGAUGUCCACUUUUUAAAAUUUUAAUUAAUUAAAUAUAAAAAAUAUUUAAAAAUGUUAUGAAAUUUAGCAUGGACAAAAGCCCAACCCAACCCGGAAUUCAAAUGAUCGAGCUUUUUAUUUUUUGGAUUGGGUCAGGCUCGGGCUUGACCAAUUGACAUCACUAACCAUAUACAUUUGUGUCCAAGCCACUUUUAAAGACUAUUUAUUUGUGAGGUUGAUUGUAAAACGUACAAAUGAGCUUUACUAAGAGUUGUGAUAUUUGAUCACUCAAUUUAUUUUUAACAGCCUUGACUUUUUAAAAUCACCAUUCUUCAAAUUUCAAAAUAUGAGACAAACAUCUACUCCAUGGGAGGGUCUACCUACAUCCUUGUCCUUAAUAGAAAAAUCAAAUUUUUUAACCCAAUCCCUCCCUUUUUGAUUGAUUGAGAUCCUAAAAUUAUUAUUAUUAUUAUUUUUUAAAAAGUUGCAAGGAAGUUAGUAUUAAUGGGUAUUUUUCCAUAUUUACAAGGGAGUUAGUAUAAAAAAUUACUUGCAUUCAAUUAACGAGUGAUUCCUAUUCUCCAACAAUUUACAAUUUUAAAUUAAGGAUCUCCUUCUUCUUUGAAAUAAAAAGGCCCGAAGUCCAUAAUUUUUAAAGAUUUUUUUUGUCCAAGUAAUUUAAAUUUUUUUUUAAAAAUGGACUUAGCCUCCCAUAUACAUUAAAAUUUAACAUAAAUAUAAGGAUUAUUCAAGAUCUCAACCAUAUAAUUAUAUAAAUUAUAAAAUAAACAUAAUCUAAAAUCAUAUCUUAUAAAGUUAUAUAAAUAAAAAACUUUUUUAAUUUUUUAAUUUUAGGUCAGGUUGGUCGGGUCGAGGCAAAUAGGACCUGAACCUUGACCCAAAUUUAAUUACCUAAUAUUUAAGUUUGAGCUCGACCUGAAUAAAUUCGGGUGUAACCCCCAAAAAUUUGGGUCGGGUUAAUUAGGCCAAAAUUCAGGUCAGGUCUUUUGAAACUAACUAAUGAACACAAGCUUCAACUUUGCUCUGAAUCUUCUAUUGAAACUAAACCAAUUAAAGUACCGAUUUAGACUCCCCAAGAUCCACCCUUGUGUACUUUGUAAUCUCAUAUUGACUUAGUGAACGCAAGCUUUAGUAUGAAUGACGAACCAGUUGCAAUCCAAACAAGAAAUUCAAGAAAUUAGAUUCACACACACACAUACACACACUUGACACCAAGAUUUAUAGUGGUUUGGCUACAAAGUGAGCCUACAUCCACUGUGAAGGAGAAGAAAAGUUUCACUAUCUGAGCUUAUUCAAGAUAUCCAGAAGAUGUUACAGAAUCAUUCUACAUAGAGAUCUCACCAUAAAGGAAUAUAUAUAAUCAAAAAAGGAUAUAGAAUGACCCCGCACCAGGCAGUUGUUAUUGCCUUCUGGGUUUGUUGUAAAGAAGUCCAAAAUUUGCCCUCGUGAUAAUGACGUUUAACAGUCUUUUGAAUCCCUAAUGGCCACGUGUUAAGCCUUCACAAGAUCUCAUAUACAAAACGUCACACACCCUUGUCGUUUGGGGUAAGUGAUGCACGUCUUGUAUCACAUGUAUUACUUACUUGUUUAACUGAUUACAAAAAUAUCAUACUGUUAGUGAUUUUUUUAUCAAAUGCUAUUGAUGCCAAUGUGCAAGUGUACACAACAAAUAAUAAAGUGAUGAAUAUUCAAGAUCGUCUCAACAUGGAUUGAUGCUACUAGAAAUGCUACAACAAUCACAAUAGUGCAAUCUACCUUUAUUCUGAGAUGAACAAAUGUAAGGUUGGUUACUAUUGAAAUUGAUAAUUAUGAAAGAGUAAAAUAAAACAAAGCAGUGAUGAAAUAAAUUAAAUAAAAAUGCGUCGAAGUCUCAUAAGGUAGUUGAAUGAUCAAACUCUCUUUAUGGGCUGACUGCUUUUCAUCAAGUUAACACCAGUUGCUACAACAAUUUCUAUAUCACUGGGCAGAAUUAUUUUGCAUCAUCAGCUGUCGCAUAUUGGAAUUCUCAUGCCCUUAAGUAUCUUAACAAUGAUCAGUUGUUAUUCUACCUUCAGCAUGGCACUAUGAACAUCCAUUCUCUCCACCCUAUAAGGUGAAUAUCUAUAUCUAGUUUAUCACAAAUCUUAACUUCAAGUAUGAGGCAAAUAGGACCUGAACCUUGACCCAAAUUUAAUUACCUAAUAUUUAAGUUUGAGCUCGACCUGAAUAAAUUCGGGUGUAACCCCCAAAAAUUUGGGUCGGGUUAAUUAGGCCAAAAUUCAGGUCAGGUCUUUUGAAACUAACUAAUGAACACAAGCUUCAACUUUGCUCUGAAUCUUCUAUUGAAACUAAACCAAUUAAAGUACCGAUUUAGACUCCCCAAGAUCCACCCUUGUGUACUUUGUAAUCUCAUAUUGACUUAGUGAACGCAAGCUUUAGUAUGAAUGACGAACCAGUUGCAAUCCAAACAAGAAAUUCAAGAAAUUAGAUUCACACACACACAUACACACACUUGACACCAAGAUUUAUAGUGGUUUGGCUACAAAGUGAGCCUACAUCCACUGUGAAGGAGAAGAAAAGUUUCACUAUCUGAGCUUAUUCAAGAUAUCCAGAAGAUGUUACAGAAUCAUUCUACAUAGAGAUCUCACCAUAAAGGAAUAUAUAUAAUCAAAAAAGGAUAUAGAAUGACCCCGCACCAGGCAGUUGUUAUUGCCUUCUGGGUUUGUUGUAAAGAAGUCCAAAAUUUGCCCUCGUGAUAAUGACGUUUAACAGUCUUUUGAAUCCCUAAUGGCCACGUGUUAAGCCUUCACAAGAUCUCAUAUACAAAACGUCACACACCCUUGUCGUUUGGGGUAAGUGAUGCACGUCUUGUAUCACAUGUAUUACUUACUUGUUUAACUGAUUACAAAAAUAUCAUACUGUUAGUGAUUUUUUUAUCAAAUGCUAUUGAUGCCAAUGUGCAAGUGUACACAACAAAUAAUAAAGUGAUGAAUAUUCAAGAUCGUCUCAACAUGGAUUGAUGCUACUAGAAAUGCUACAACAAUCACAAUAGUGCAAUCUACCUUUAUUCUGAGAUGAACAAAUGUAAGGUUGGUUACUAUUGAAAUUGAUAAUUAUGAAAGAGUAAAAUAAAACAAAGCAGUGAUGAAAUAAAUUAAAUAAAAAUGCGUCGAAGUCUCAUAAGGUAGUUGAAUGAUCAAACUCUCUUUAUGGGCUGACUGCUUUUCAUCAAGUUAACACCAGUUGCUACAACAAUUUCUAUAUCACUGGGCAGAAUUAUUUUGCAUCAUCAGCUGUCGCAUAUUGGAAUUCUCAUGCCCUUAAGUAUCUUAACAAUGAUCAGUUGUUAUUCUACCUUCAGCAUGGCACUAUGAACAUCCAUUCUCUCCACCCUAUAAGGUGAAUAUCUAUAUCUAGUUUAUCACAAAUCUUAACUUCAAGUAUGACCCUUAUGGGAUUCAAGAUAAACUUAAUCUAGGAAACUUAAAUUAAGAUCAAGUAUUACUCUAAUAACAUCCACUAAGACUUGCCCUUUUGCGGCUUUAUCUUAACUUGAAUCAUUAAAUGGGUGGUCAACCGAAAUAACAGUUAUAAUAAUAACUAAUAGAGUAAAAUGCUACAACAAUUAUAUAGCAACUCAUAAGAACAGUCAAGAACCCAUUAGAUUGUUUGUCACUCAAUUACAAGCAAAUUAGUUCAUAUUCUGAAAGAGAAAAAUAAACAGCAAUAUAUUGGUCACGAAAUACAUUGGUUCAAUCAAAGAGUGAAGAAGAGAAUGAGUGGAGAAUGAAAAAAAUUGAAUCCAAAUAACUCUGCUGGAUUCUUCAAUGAUGCAGCAUCGGUUCCCUUGAAUUCUGAUUUUCUUCUUCUUCUUUUCUCUCUAAUUCUCUCAAUGUUAAUUCCUUGCCUCCGUUUUAUGUGAUGCACGCCUCCUUUUAUAACUGAAAACUAGGGUAAACAAAAGCCUCGAGCGUACAUAAGUCAAAUUAGGAAACUACAGAUCGUAAUUCUGCAGCUAACCCGCGCUAAGUUUUCUCCCUCGGUGUUCCAGGAUUACUACAGCAAUGGUCGCUCUAGCAACAACUAUACCACUGCACUGUUCCCGGUUAUGUUUCACUUCUUUUGAAGCCAUAUUCUUUCUUAUUCUUGCUAGCCUAAUAUCUCAGCAUCCCUUCAUAAAUUAUGAACUUCUGAAAACCUACCAUUUUGCACAUAUUUUGAGCACAAAUUACUUUAAAUCAAGCAAAACUUAUUAAGACUCAACUAAAAUGGAUGUUUAUGAGCACAAAUUACUUUAAACUAGAAUUGUCAUAAUAACUCUCAUUUCAUAGAGUUAUCACAUACAACUCCCUAAACUUCUAUGACUAACAUGUCGUUUAUUAUCAACCGACAUGUCACGUGUAAUCUCAAGGUAUAUUUGACUUGGCACAUGUGCUUUUAAGUUCAGAUUUGAGCUUUAUCUUUAAAAUUCUCCACCUUGAACUUAAAUCUACUGCUUUUCUUCUUCACCUUCACUUCUAAUCUGCAAGUUAUAUCUUGUAAAUCCGAGCAGAGUUCAAAUAGAACUCAAACUUGGCACCUGAAAUAGGCUUGGUUAGAAUGUCUGCAAGGUUGUCAUUUGUGUGAAUUUUUACCAAUUUCAUCACUCCUUUUAACACCUCUAGUCUUAGAAAAUGAAGCUUGACAUCUAUAUGUUUAGUCUUUUCAUGAUGGACAUGAUUUUUAUUCAAACAAAUAGCACUGUGAUUAUCACAGUGGACCAACACCUGCUUAUUUUCAUACCCUAGUUCAACUACCAUUCCUCUAAGCCAAAUUGCUUCUUUAAUGGCUUCUGCUGCUACAGUGUACUCUGCUUCAGUUGUUGAAAAAGCUACAACACUCUUCAAUGUAGUUUUCCAAUUUAUGAUACAACCAUUUAGAGUGAAUAAGUAACCAGUUAGAGAUCUUAUUUUGUCCAUAUCCCUUGUAAAAUCAGCAUCUACAAAGCCUUUAACACUGACUUCAUUACGUUUUUUAAUCCCAUAAACCAGACCAUAAUCAGAUGUGCCCUUCAGACAUCUCAAUACUCAUAUCACAGCCUUCCAAUGUUCUUUCCCUAGAUUUGCCAUAUAUCUACUUACCACACUAAUUGCAUAGGAUAUAUCUGGCCUAGUUAGAACCAUUGCAUAUAUUAGACAUCCAACAACACUUGAGUAAGGAACAACGACUAUUUCUGCCUUCUCAUCAUCAGUUUUGGGAAACUAUUGACAUGAGAGUUUAAAAUGAGCUGGUAAUAGUGUUUGAACAGGCUUUGAGCUUCACAUCUCAAACUUCUCAAGCACUUUUCUAAUGUAUUUUUGCUGAGUCAAGUAUAAGAUACCUUCAUUUCUAUCUCUGAUUAUUUCUACCCUAAUAAUUUUCUUUGCUACUCCUAGAUCUUUCAUUUCAAAAACUUCCCUCAGUUGUUGAUUAAGAAUGUUUAUCUGCUGACAUUUAAUCAACAUAUCAUCAACAUAUAACAACAGAUACAUCUUAGUGUCAUCUUCCACUCCUUUGAAAUAUACACAAUAAUCAAAAUUACUUUUUUGAAAGCCAUAUUCUGACAUAAACCUGUCAAAUCUUAAAUACCAUUGCCUAGGGGCUUGUUUAAGUCCAUACAAUGAUUUCUUCAAAUUGCAAACAUGAUCAACCUUUUUUUAAUCUACAUAGCCUUCUGGUUGGGCCAUUACAAUCAUCUCAUCCAACUCACCAUGAAGAAAGACAGUCUUGACAUCUAUUUACUUAAGGUGCAUGUCUUUUAUAUCUACAAGUGCUAAUAAGAUUCUCAAGGACGAGUUUUUGACUACUCAAGAAAACACCUCUGUGAAGUCAAUACCCUCAUUUUGUAUAAAGCCUUUGGCAACAAGCCUAGCCUUGUACCUUUGAGGUUCAACACUUGGUAUUCCCUCUUUGAUCUUAUAAACCCACUUACAGUACACUACCUUCUUAUUUGCUGGUUUCUCAAUCAGCUCUCAUGUCUGAUUUUUUAUCAAUGAUUGAAUCUCCUUAUCUAUAGCUUGCUUCCAUUCUUUUGACUUAUCGCUCUUAACAACCUAUGAAUAAGUUCUUAGUUCAUCAAAUUCAACUUCAUGUGCUGCUGUUAAUGCAAAUGCAAUGAGAUCUGCAACGCAUAUCUCUUUGGUGGCUUUAUAAGUCUUUGCUCUCUAUCUCUCACCAAUUGAUAAUCUUUAAUUUCUUGGUUACCUACAAACUCAUCAACAGAUUCAGAGCUCUCAAUAUCAGAUAUUGUUUUAGGUUCUACUUUUGGUUCUUGCUUUGUCCUAAAAGUUGAAAGCUCCACCUCAAAAUGAGACUUCUAAUCUUUGACUUCUAAUUUUGUGACAAUAAGUUUUGAGUGUAUUGUGUUAUGAAGCAUUUCAGCUUCAUUGAACACAAUAUCCCUACUGACAAUAGCUCUUGGUGGCUUCAAAUCAGUGCACAAGAGCUUGUAACCCUUCACUCUAUCUGAGUAACCAAGGAAUACACACUUCAAGGCUCUUGGAUCUAGUUUUCCUUAAGUAAUGUGUGCGUAUGCUAGACAACCAAACACCCUCAAAUUAGAGUAGUCUGCUGGUUUACUAGACCAAAGCUCUAUUGGUGUUCUGAAGUUGAUUCCAGAAGAGGGGCUUCCGUUUACAAUAUAACAUGUUGUAAAUAAAGCUUCUGCCCAUAAAGCUAUAGAGAGCUUUGAAUGUAUAAGCAUGCAUUUCAUCUUAUCAACCAAAGUCUUGUUCAUCCUUUCAGCUAACCCAUUUUGUUGAGGUGUAUGGCUAACUGUCUUAUGCCUCACAAUACCAUUUUCAAUACAAAAUCAUCAAACUUCUUGUUACAGGAUUCCAACCCAUUAUCAAUUCUAAGCCUCCUGACUUUUUUAUUUGUUUGAGUCUCUACUAGUGCCUUUCAAGCCUUAAACUAAUCAAAUACAUCAUCUUUAUUUUUCAAUAUAUACUCCCAAACUAUUCUAGAAAUGUCAUCAAUGAGAGAUAAAAAAUACCUAGCCUCACUUAAAGAAGCUAUUUGUGCUGGCCCUCACAGAUCAGCAUGAGUGUAGUUUAAAGUUCCCUUUGAAUUAUGGACACCAGUAUUGAAUUUCACCCUUGAAGACUUGCCUAAGAUACAUUCUUCAUAAAACCUUAAAGACUUUAUCUUAUCUACUCCUAAAACCUCAUGUUUUGACAACUCUUUUAAGCCCUUUCCACUGAUACGACCUAACUGUUGAGUGUUAGAAAAUGUAUAUUUAUAAAAGAGAAAAUCGUCAUUUUACACUUCAAAUCUUACUAAUACCCUUACUUUUAUGUAUUUAAGCUUCUUGUGAUUUAAUUACGUGUGUUUUAUUUUAAUUAAGUAUUUUAUAUAUUUUAGGGGCAUCAUGGUCAUUUCACAAUGAACGAGAGACCAGACAGUAAAACAUACAUCAUUUUUGAACUCAGGACAGUCGAAAACCUUAGGAGGAGCAUAAAAGAAAAAAUGUCACCGUUCACAUGUACGGUAUUGUCCAUGUUACUGUUCAUGACACUGUUCACAUAUACGGAACGAUGAUGUGGCAUUGACCGAUGAUGUGACAUUGACUGAUGAGGUAUCACGAUUCUAUUGGACUAAAAUUCUUAUGUACUGUUGAUCGAUGACGUAGCAGCAUAUUGGUAGACCAAAAAUCCCGCGUACGAUACAUGCAUAUACACAUCAUUAUUUUCAACCAAACCGUGUCACUGUUCAAACCGCGUACUGUUGACUGAUGACGUGGCGCAAUCCUAAGCGUCCAAACUGUUUUUAAACCGAUGGCCAUGAUUUACUCAAUGUAUCUAUAAAAAUGGGACCUCUCCCCCCUAAUUUGGCAUCUCUGAAUCCAUUUUUGGGCUCCAUUUUCUGUAAUUCCUUCUCCAUCUUGUAUUUUCUACGUAUUUUAAUAAAUUUUCAUUUUACCCCUUGUUCAAUUAUGAGUAGCUAAUUUUCUUUCAAGCUUGGGUUGAAGGUGAAGUAUCAACAUGUGUCAUGCGCUUUAUUUAGUAAAUUUAUUUUCUCUUCCCCUCUAGUUUUUGUGGAUGUUUUGACUUCUCGUCGAUAAAUAAUAAUAAUCUUGUCUAGAUACCGCCCUGGUUUCACCGGCUCCCUAGUACAAGGUUAUUAUUAUUUGGCACGAUAAGCCCUUAGCACCAUAUUGAUUAGAGUGUGGUUCAUGAGGUGUGGAUUCCCCACUCAUGAUUUAAUUGACACUAAUAAGGAAUAUUUAGCACAUGGUGCAUGUUGAUACGGAUCUAGAUACCCAAGUGCAUCAUUUCAAUAUAUUUCACUUCAAUUUAUUCUCGCCAUUUUAAUUUAAGUUUUAGAAUAUUCCAAAUCAUCUUUACCAUAAAUCCAACCACCCAUUUAGAAAAAUUAAUUCUACACAAUUAAAAUCCACCUCCUCGUGGGAUCGAUACUCAUCACCAUUGAUCUAUUCUACAAUAGAUUCGUGUACUUGCGAGUUCAAUAAAAUUUGCACAACAAGUUUUUGGUGCCGUUGCCGGGGAGGUAAGUUAUUUUAAUUUGUAGAAUUAAUUUUUGUAAAAAAAAAAUUCUUUUAGUUAUUUUUCUUGUAAUUUUUUUUAAUUUAAAAAAGAAAAAAGAAAAAAAAGUGAAUCUACAUUUAGAGGUAAGAAUUUCUUUUCUUUUUCUCUUCUUUAAAAUUUUUUAAUUUAAUUUUUAAUUUAUUUUUCUUUGUAAUUUUUUGUUUAUUUUAUUAAUUUAUUUUUAGUUAAUUUAUUUCACAUAUUUUUUAAAGUGUGUUUUUUAUAGAAAGGUUUUAACAGUGUGAUAAGGUUAGUACCAUAAUUUCUUCUUCUUGUUUAUUUUUAUUAAUUUUGUUCUCAUUUUUUUAUUCAUUGCAUGCAUGGUCGAAUGUCAUUAUUACCAAAUCUUGAGCCUAUAGACCUUGAACUUGAAAAAACACUUCGCACACACAAAUACGUUGUAAUUAAAGAUAAAAGUGAAAUGAAUUUGCAACAACAACAAGCACCACCAGAGAGGCCAUUUAAGGACUACUUCAAUCCCUUAACUAAUUUGAGCACAUCAUGCAUAAGAUACCCAAAUGUAGCUGCUAGGAGUUUUGAACUAAAACCUAGUGUGCUAAAUUAUCUUAUAACAUUCUAUGACUUAGAAAAUGAGUACCCAUAUAAUCAUUUGAAUGAUUUUCAUACUGUUUGUCAAACAUUUAAAUAUGAGAAUUUUUCAGAUGAUGAUGUUAAACUUGGACUAUUCCCAUUUUCUUUAAAGGAUAGAGCUUGUUUAUGGCUCAAUACAUUGCCUGCUAAUAGCAUCACAUCAUGGGAACAAAUGGUAACUGUUUGGGAAGGAAAUAUGAGGCCAAUGAUGAAGCGCCACGUGUUGAUAUUUAAGAGAUUAAUUUAUCUCGGGUACCUCGGGUACCCUAGGUACCCCGGCUACCCUAAGCACUCCGGGGGUACCUCGGGUACACCAUGAAAGGAUACAAAAGUCUUUGUAAAUAUGUGGAGGGAUAUGUGGGCCUCGAAUCUCAAAAAGAUCGGUUUGAUACGUGUCAAAAAAUAAGGAAAUCUCGUGCCGCAAAAGAGGAGACAGCCUCCUGUCACGCUAGCGAAUCCGCCAAAAGUGUGAUAUUGUGACAGUUGGGACCACCAGCUUUUCCUGCUAUGCCUGCAAAAUUACAACGGAAUUGCAGAGGUACGCGGGACCACUCCGCUACGCCCAGCACGUGAAUACGCCACAAACUUGCUCUCCACUCAUAUUUUUGAAACGUCUAAGCCGCCAUACGCAUGAAAAUAAGAAUAUUCCUGACAUGACAGCAGGAAACGCCACUAAAAUAACGCCAGGUGGCACGACGACCGGGGUACACCAUAUAAAUACUCAGGUUUGAUUUUUAUCAAGGGAGUAAACACACUCACCACAAAAAAACUAGGGUUUCUUUAACCUCAAAAUCUCCAUUAUCGAGCGCUUGCAAGCUCUCUAACCUGAGAUAACCCAACUCUGACUUGAGCGUCGGAGUGUGGUCGCCGGCCACCCCCGGCUCCACCUCUGACCUCGUUUUUGGUUGUUUUGCAGGUUUAAGGCGAGUUUCACCAGCCCUCCGCACCUAAUGUCAGACCCUCUUCAUAUCCUCCGUCAUCUCAAUCCUCCUAUCCACCCAUCUCAAUCCUCAUUCGCUCCACAAAAAGCCUAAACAGCCCGCACGUGCCGAACAAGCGAGGUACCCCGCUCCCCGACAAAAAUAUAAAUUUAUUGCUCUUGGGUUGGUUUUAUGGGUUUUUAUUCAUUGACCCAAAAUCAGCAGCAAACAAUUGGCGCUGUCUGUGGGGACACGAGCAAAAAGCUUCAACACGAUGCUAAGCUUGUCGGUACGUGUGCUUACUCCAACAUAAAAUUCCUCUAAAAUGCAAAGACCCAGGCUCCCCCACUAUCUCAUGUAGCAUAGGGAACCACACAAUUAAAAUCCACCUCCUCAUGGGAUUGACACUCGUCACCAUUGAUCUAUACUACAAUAGAUUCGUGGGCUUGCGAGUACAUUAAAAUUUGCACAACACUUGCACAACCAUGGCACCCGACGUACCCGCUGAUAACCAAAUGCUAGGUCAUGAUGGAACAGAGGACCACGGCGGUGAUGAGAGGGGUGACUCGACAAGGAGGGCAUCCCGCCUAGAGAAAGGCAAAUCAGUUAAGCAAUCAGCUGGUAUUCAACCCGACGAGGAGCCCGUUACUCAUAAACACUUUGAGGAUUUAGCUCAUGCGAUUCUCAGAGCAGUAGGAUCUCGGGUACCCAAAGCAGCCACUUCCCUGGUAACUCAAGAUGUCCCGCCUCCACGCGGUGAAAAACAGAUCAUACCAAGAUCUGAAAUACCGGAGGGAAGUAGACCAAAGCAUGGGCCAUCGGGCACCCGUUCAAAGUUUCAAGCCGUCGGCUCCCGGGAAGAACGCUCCACUGCCUCUUGCUAUUCCCGUAGCAGCCAGGGUACCAAACGUAAACAAAAAGCCCAUGAAGAUCUCNNNNNNNNNNNNNNNNNNNNNNNNNNNNNNNNNNNNNNNNNNNNNNNNNNNNNNNNNNNNNNNNNNNNNNNNNNNNNNNNNNNNNNNNNNNNNNNNNNNNNNNNNNNNNNNNNNNNNNNNNNNNNNNNNNNNNNNNNNNNNNNNNNNNNNNNNNNNNNNNNNNNNNNNNNNNNNNNNNNNNNNNNNNNNNNNNNNNNNNNNNNNNNNNNNNNNNNNNNNNNNNNNNNNNNNNNNNNNNNNNNNNNNNNNNNNNNNNNNNNNNNNNNNNNNNNNNNNNNNNNNNNNNNNNNNNNNNNNNNNNNNNNNNNNNNNNNNNNNNNNNNNNNNNNNNNNNNNNNNNNNNNNNNNNNNNNNNNNNNNNNNNNNNNNNNNNNNNNNNNNNNNNNNNNNNNNNNNNNNNNNNNNNNNNNNNNNNNNNNNNNNNNNNNNNNNNNNNNNNNNNNNNNNNNNNNNNNNNNNNNNNNNNNNNNNNNNNNNNNNNNNNNNNNNNNNNNNNNNNNNNNNNNNNNNNNNNNNNNNNNNNNNNNNNNNNNNNNNNNNNNNNNNNNNNNNNNNNNNNNNNNNNNNNNNNNNNNNNNNNNNNNNNNNNNNNAACUUUAAAAAAAUAAUUUAUUCUCUGCUGUACGGCCAAGGCGGAUGUACGGUACAGCAGCCAAAAGUUUGAUAUUGUGACAGUUGGGACCACCAGCUUUUCCUGCUAUACCUGCAAAAUUACAACGGAAUUGCAGAGGUACGCGGGACCACUCCACUACGCCCAACACGUGAAUAUGCCACAUACUUGCUCUCCACUGAUGUUUUUGAAACGUCUAAGCCGCCUUACGCAUAAAAAUAAGAAUAUUCCUGACAUGACAGCAGGGAACGCCACUAAAAUAGCGCCAGGUGGCACGGCGACCGGGGUACACCAUAUAAAUACUCAGGUUUAAUUUUUAUCAAGGGAGGGAACACACUCACCAGAAAAAACGAAGGUUUCUUCAACCUCAAAAUCUCCAUUACCGAGAGCUUGCAAGCUCUCUAACCUGAGAUAACCCAACUCUGACUUGAGCGUCGGAGUGUGGUCGCCGGCCACCCCCGGCUCCACCUUUGACAUCUUUUUGGUUGUUUCGCAGGUUUAAGGCGAGUUUCACCAGCCCUCCGCACCUGAAGUCAGACCCCCUCCAUAUCCACCGUCAUCUCAAUCCUCCUUCACUCCACAAAAAUCCCAAACAGCCCGCACGUGCCGAACAAGCGAGGUACCCCGCUCCCCGACAAAAAUAUAAAUUUAUUGCUCUUGGGUUGGUUUUAUGGGUUUUUAUUCAUUGACCCAAAAUCAGCAGCAAACAAUUGGCGCUGUCUGUGGGGACACGAGCAAAAAGCUUCAACACGAUGCUAAGCUUGUCGGUACGUGUGCUUACUCCAACAUAAAAUUCCUCUAAAAUGCAAAGACCCAGGCUCCCCCACUAUCUCAUGUAGCAUAGGGAACCACACAAUUAAAAUCCACCUCCUCAUGGGAUUGACACUCGUCACCAUUGAUCUAUACUACAAUAGAUUCGUGCGCUUGCGAGUACAUUAAAAUUUGCACAACACUUGCACAACCAUGGCACCCGACGUACCCGCUGAUAACCAAAUGUUAGGUCAUGAUGGAGCAGAGGACCACGGCGGUGAUGAGAGGGGUGACUCGACAAGGAGGGCAUCCCGCCUAGAGAAAGGCAAAUCAGUUAAGCAAUCAGCUGGUAUUCAACCCGACGAGGAGCUCGUUACUCAUAAACACUUUAAGGAUUUAGCUCAUGUGAUUCUCAGAGCAGUAGGAUCUCGGGUAUCCGAAGCAGCCACUUCUUCGGUAACUCAAGAUGUCCCGCCUCCAUGCGGUGAGAAACAGAUCAUACCAAGAUCUGAAAUACCGGAGGGAAGUAGACCAAAGCAUGGGCCAUCGGGCACCCAUUCAAAGUUUCAAGCCGCCGGCUCCCGGGAAGAACGCUCCACUGCCUCUUGUUAUUCCCGUAGUAGCCGGGGUACCAAACGCAAACAAAAAGCCCAUGAAGAUCUCCGGUACAAGUUUAACGCCAAAAGAGCUUCCUAAACAACAGCGGCCUCCUCAGGUGCACCUGGGGUACCCCGCGAGUUCCUAGAAAAAAUGGAGUACCUUGAAACUCAAGUGAAGCUCCUUUCUGAAAAACAAAACUCCACCAAUGCUUUAGCGCCAGCAGUGCAUAACUCGCCAUUCACCAUGGAGAUUCGGACAGCGGUUCUCCUGGAAGCGUUCACCAUGCCUCAAAUACAACAAUACUCGGGUACCUCGGACCCUGUGGAACAUGCUGAGUUAUAUCGUGACCAGAUGAUGAUUAAAGGAGUGGGCGACAAUGCUAUGUGCCGGAUGUUCCCGCAUACCCUCACUGGACCAGCCAAGUCAUGGUUCCGAUCGUUGAAGGCAGGUAGUGUAUCCUCCUUAGACCAGCUCCUAAAAGAUUUUGUUCAUGAGUUUGGUUAUGCAUCCGCCCAAGAUAUAACAUCCACCAAGCUUGCUUUCAUCAAGCAAGGGGAUUCAGAAUCUUUAGCCGAAUACGUAACCCGCUUCCACCAAGAGGUGUUGCGUACCGGUACAUUUGGUCACCAACAUACUCUCACUUAUUUUGAAAAGAAUUUGCAUUUGUGGAAGUUAUGGCAGUCAUUUCAAAAACACCGCCCUAUUUCAUAUGAGGAAGCUCGUUCUCGAGCCCUGCAACAAAUAGAAAUGGAUGAGAAGUGUAACCUAAAGCGGGAGGAAGACAAAGUCGAAGUUGUGAGAAAUAAGGAGAAACCCAAGAGAGCCGAGGUACCUCAGGUACCCUCUUGAGCACCCCGGGUACACAGCCCACCUCGUCCAACCCCACGUGGGAGAGGACUGAAUAUCCCUGGUGUACCUUGGGUACCCCGGGUACCUUAGGUACCCUCCUGAGCACCCCGAGUACAUAGCCCACCGCUACUGCCAGAACAACGGGAAGCACCACAAAAAUCCAGAUAUGACUCUUUCCACCAUUUGAAUCAAUCUCCAGAACAAAUUUUUUACCAUAUUAGGGAUACGAGGAUACUUCGCCCACCUAAGCCAAUUCGAAAAUACCCCAAUAUGAAGCGUAGCUUGAAGUAUUGUGAGUUUCAUGAAGAUUUCGGCCAUAGCACCGCCGAAUGCUUUCACUUAAGGGAAGAAAUUGAGUCAUUGAUUCUGAGUGGGUAUCUUAAGGAAUUUGUGGCUGAUAUGCGUGAGGCAAGGAAGUUCUCGGAAUUUUCUUUAAAGGAUAGAGCUUGUUUAUGGCUCAAUACAUUGCCUGCUAAUAGCAUCACAUCAUGGGAACAAAUGGUAACUGUUUGGGAAGGAAAUAUGAGGCCAAUGAUGAAGCGCCACGUGUUGAUAUUUAAGAGAUUAAUUUAUCUCGGGUACCUCGGGUACCCUAGGUACCCCGGCUACCCUAAGCACUCCGGGGGUACCUCGGGUACACCAUGAAAGGAUACAAAAGUCUUUGUAAAUAUGUGGAGGGAUAUGUGGGCCUCGAAUCUCAAAAAGAUCGGUUUGAUACGUGUCAAAAAAUAAGGAAAUCUCGUGCCGCAAAAGAGGAGACAGCCUCCUGUCACGCUAGCGAAUCCGCCAAAAGUGUGAUAUUGUGACAGUUGGGACCACCAGCUUUUCCUGCUAUGCCUGCAAAAUUACAACGGAAUUGCAGAGGUACGCGGGACCACUCCGCUACGCCCAGCACGUGAAUACGCCACAAACUUGCUCUCCACUCAUAUUUUUGAAACGUCUAAGCCGCCAUACGCAUGAAAAUAAGAAUAUUCCUGACAUGACAGCAGGAAACGCCACUAAAAUAACGCCAGGUGGCACGACGACCGGGGUACACCAUAUAAAUACUCAGGUUUGAUUUUUAUCAAGGGAGUAAACACACUCACCACAAAAAAACUAGGGUUUCUUUAACCUCAAAAUCUCCAUUAUCGAGCGCUUGCAAGCUCUCUAACCUGAGAUAACCCAACUCUGACUUGAGCGUCGGAGUGUGGUCGCCGGCCACCCCCGGCUCCACCUCUGACCUCGUUUUUGGUUGUUUUGCAGGUUUAAGGCGAGUUUCACCAGCCCUCCGCACCUAAUGUCAGACCCUCUUCAUAUCCUCCGUCAUCUCAAUCCUCCUUCGCUCCACAAAAAGCCUAAACAGCCCGCACGUGCCGAACAAGCGAGGUACCCCGCUCCCCGACAAAAAUAUAAAUUUAUUGCUCUUGGGUUGGUUUUAUGGGUUUUUAUUCAUUGACCCAAAAUCAGCAGCAAACAAUUGGCGCUGUCUGUGGGGACACGAGCAAAAAGCUUCAACACGAUGCUAAGCUUGUCGGUACGUGUGCUUACUCCAACAUAAAAUUCCUCUAAAAUGCAAAGACCCAGGCUCCCCCACUAUCUCAUGUAGCAUAGGGAACCACACAAUUAAAAUCCACCUCCUCAUGGGAUUGACACUCGUCACCAUUGAUCUAUACUACAAUAGAUUCGUGCGCUUGCGAGUACAUUAAAAUUUGCACAACACUUGCACAACCAUGGCACCCGACGUACCCGCUGAUAACCAAAUGCUAGGUCAUGAUGGAACAGAGGACCACGGCGGUGAUGAGAGGGGUGACUCGACAAGGAGGGCAUCCCGCCUAGAGAAAGGCAAAUCAGUUAAGCAAUCAGCUGGUAUUCAACCCGACGAGGAGCUCGUUACUCAUAAACACUUUAAGGAUUUAGCUCAUGUGAUUCUCAGAGCAGUAGGAUCUCGGGUAUCCGAAGCAGCCACUUCUUCGGUAACUCAAGAUGUCCCGCCUCCAUGCGGUGAGAAACAGAUCAUACCAAGAUCUGAAAUACCGGAGGGAAGUAGACCAAAGCAUGGGCCAUCGGGCACCCAUUCAAAGUUUCAAGCCGCCGGCUCCCGGGAAGAACGCUCCACUGCCUCUUGUUAUUCCCGUAGUAGCCGGGGUACCAAACGCAAACAAAAAGCCCAUGAAGAUCUCCGGUACAAGUUUAACGCCAAAAGAGCUUCCUAAACAACAGCGGCCUCCUCAGGUGCACCUGGGGUACCCCGCGAGUUCCUAGAAAAAAUGGAGUACCUUGAAACUCAAGUGAAGCUCCUUUCUGAAAAACAAAACUCCACCAAUGCUUUAGCGCCAGCAGUGCAUAACUCGCCAUUCACCAUGGAGAUUCGGACAGCGGUUCUCCUGGAAGCGUUCACCAUGCCUCAAAUACAACAAUACUCGGGUACCUCGGACCCUGUGGAACAUGCUGAGUUAUAUCGUGACCAGAUGAUGAUUAAAGGAGUGGGCGACAAUGCUAUGUGCCGGAUGUUCCCGCAUACCCUCACUGGACCAGCCAAGUCAUGGUUCCGAUCGUUGAAGGCAGGUAGUGUAUCCUCCUUAGACCAGCUCCUAAAAGAUUUUGUUCAUGAGUUUGGUUAUGCAUCCGCCCAAGAUAUAACAUCCACCAAGCUUGCUUUCAUCAAGCAAGGGGAUUCAGAAUCUUUAGCCGAAUACGUAACCCGCUUCCACCAAGAGGUGUUGCGUACCGGUACAUUUGGUCACCAACAUACUCUCACUUAUUUUGAAAAGAAUUUGCAUUUGUGGAAGUUAUGGCAGUCAUUUCAAAAACACCGCCCUAUUUCAUAUGAGGAAGCUCGUUCUCGAGCCCUGCAACAAAUAGAAAUGGAUGAGAAGUGUAACCUAAAGCGGGAGGAAGACAAAGUCGAAGUUGUGAGAAAUAAGGAGAAACCCAAGAGAGCCGAGGUACCUCAGGUACCCUCUUGAGCACCCCGGGUACACAGCCCACCUCGUCCAACCCCACGUGGGAGAGGACUGAAUAUCCCUGGUGUACCUUGGGUACCCCGGGUACCUUAGGUACCCUCCUGAGCACCCCGAGUACAUAGCCCACCGCUACUGCCAGAACAACGGGAAGCACCACAAAAAUCCAGAUAUGACUCUUUCCACCAUUUGAAUCAAUCUCCAGAACAAAUUUUUUACCAUAUUAGGGAUACGAGGAUACUUCGCCCACCUAAGCCAAUUCGAAAAUACCCCAAUAUGAAGCGUAGCUUGAAGUAUUGUGAGUUUCAUGAAGAUUUCGGCCAUAGCACCGCCGAAUGCUUUCACUUAAGGGAAGAAAUUGAGUCAUUGAUUCUGAGUGGGUAUCUUAAGGAAUUUGUGGCUGAUAUGCGUGAGGCAAGGAAGUUCUCGGAGCAAGAUAAGGGUAAACAAGUUGUUAACCCUCAUCCCGAAGCCGAGAUACCCCAGGGGUCUAAGAAAGGCGUGUAUGUUCGAAUGAUAGCAGGAGGUCCUACCCUCGCUCGGGAAUUUAGACGGGCUAUCAAACGUUACAGCAAGCCACCAAUUUUAGAUCGCCUUGGAAAAGAAGUGAACUUCGCUUGUCAUAAUCAACUUAGGGUAUCUGGGGUACCCCACCAUCCCCCGCCUAUCCUUUUCACAGAGCAAGAUACUGAAGAUGUCUCGUACCCCUAUGACGACGCCUUAGUAAUUACGUUGAAGGUUGCUACUGGUAAAGUAGUAAGAACUCUCGUAGACACAGGCAGCUCCGUUGAUAUCAUUUUCAAAAGCGCCUUGGAUCAACUAUUGAUUGAAUCGCCAAAGAUCACCCCAUGUGCUACACCUCUUAUUGGGUUCGCCGGCGAUAUGGUUAUCCCAAAGGGCAUUAUUACGCUGCCCGUUACACUUGGUAAGGUACCUCACCGUGUUGUUCAUAUGAUUGAUUUUCUUAUUGUGGAUCACCCAGGUGCCUAUAAUAUUAUAUUGGGAAGACAAUUCUUAGCAACAACUAAGGCGGCAAUCUCCAUGCAUUACCUCGCAUGAAGAUUCCAACCGCUGGGGAAAUUAUCACGAUUAAAGGGGAUCAGCAAUCGGCUCGAGGGUGUUACUUGGUCGCAUCGAAAGUGAGCUAUCAAAUCGCCACCAAUAUGUUCCUGGAGGGGUACCCCGUCAGCACAAGACCAUUUACCAGCCUAUCCAAGCGGGCACUGGCUAGACACCGGAGAGUUGCACGUAAGAAAGCUCAACGGUCCACGAACUCCCAGGUACCCCAAGCGCCAUAUGAAGCUGGGCCAAUGGAAGUGGACAUGGUAGCUCCUGAGGCACCACUGGUACCCCAAAGUCCCAAUUCAGCAUCAAUAGGAGAAGUCGAGGUACCCCUGGAUCCCCGGGUAUCGAAAGAUGAAAAGCGAGGAACACCGGUUGAGGAUCUUAUGUUUGUUUUGAUCUGCAAUAAGGACCCAACCAAGAUGGUCAAGGUAGGCUCCAACCUCUCUGACCAACACCGAGAGCAGCUUAUUGAGUUCUUAAAGAAAAACUUAGAUGUGUUCGCUUGGUCUCACGUGGACAUGCCGGGUAUCCCGCCUUCCAUCGCCUAUCACAAACUCAAUGUCGAUCCACAUCAUAGGCUUGUCAAGCAAAAACGUCGAGCUUUCAACCAGGAACGCUAUGACGCCAUCGAACAAGAAGUGGACCGAUUGCCAACAGCGGGGUUUAUUAAGGAGGUGGUUUACCCCGAUUGGGUCUCAAAUGUUGUAUUGGUUAAGAAGUCUAACGUGAAAUGGCGCAUGUGUGUAGAUUUCACGGAUUUAAACAAGUCUUGCCCUAAGGAUAGCUUCCCGCUUCCCCGGGUAAACCAGCUGGUCGAUGCUACGGCUGGGCACGAGAUGCUUAGUUUCAUGGAUGCUUUCUCCGGGUACAACCAAAUUCCAAUGUACGAGCCUGAUCAAGAUAAAACGGCCUUCAUCACCAACCGUGGGUUAUACUACUACAAGGUUUUGCCUUUUGGUUUAAAGAAUGCGGGCGCCACCUAUCAGCGUUUAAAUUUUUUAAUAAAUAUUUCCCAGUGCAUAAAACCAAUGCUAUUCGCAGGAAAAUAUCAGAUUUUACCCAGAGAUAGGAUGAGCAGUUUUUCGAAACAUGGAAGCGAUUCAAUGGGCUACUCUUGAAGUGUCCACAUCAUGGGUACGAGAAAUGACACAAAUGCCAAUAUUUUUUGGAGGGAUUAUUGCCGAAUGUGCAAGAAUGACUAAUGGCAACAAGUGGAUGAGAGCUAAUGUCAAAAAGUGCAUCAGAGAUUUGAGAAUUCUUCCAGCGACAAGCGAAUAAUUCCCAACAACGGAGUCGAUCGCUCAGGAAUACUAAAAGAAUUAAGGGAGUAAAUGAGGUUUAUCUUGGCGAGUCAAGUUCAGAAAUUAAAGAAGUCAAAGCGAUAAUUGAAGGUCUUUCUCGACAAAUAGCAUCGUUAACGACUGCUAAAUCAACAGAACCAUAUGACCAUGACUCAUACUCAGAUCAAGCCAAUGCCAUAUGUGUAAUGAGAAAACUAUCUAAUUACAACCCAUACGCCAAUACAUAUAACCCUGGAUGGAGAGACAACCCCAAUUUUUCACGGUCUCAAGGAUUCCAACAGAAUGGACCAGCAGCUCCAGCUCCACCAAUGCAACAAAUUCCUCAAGUUCCGCAAGUCUCUCAGUCACCAUUUAGACCAUACAAUCAAAACUAGAAUUACUCUCAACCCAUACUCACCAUCGGAAGAGAAAGAAGAAACCAGCCCACGAGAAUAUGUUUCCAAAGCUCAAUUUCCUCAGAGGUUAAUAAAGGAAAGAAAGAAAAAUCCACAGAUGAGAUUCUUGAAAUCUUCAAACAGAUACGUGUUAACAUCCCUUUACUUGAUGCUAUAAAACAAGUUACAUCUUAUGCCAAGUUUCUUAAAGACCUUUGUACUAAAAAGAGAAACAUUCACGUUUAAAAGAAUGCAUUUUUAACAGAAAACCUGCUGUACCGUACAAGCUCGGUGUUGCUUAGAGAAGAUGAAGACGGGGUGCAACGCCCUAUUUACUAUACUAGUAGGGCAAUGGUGGAUGCGGAAAAGAGGUACCCUGCCACAGAGCUGGUUUUGGCUUUGGUAAUCUCUGCAAGGAAACUCAGGCCGUAUUUUUAGGCCCACACCAUUGUCGUUGCAACAAACCUUCCCCUUCGACAAAUCCUCCAGAAGUUAGACAUGUCUGGAAGACUUCUUCGCUGGUCUCUUGAAUUGAGUGAGUUCGACAUCAUCUUCAAGCCACGCUCAGCUAUUAAAUCCCAAGCCAUCACCGAUUUCAUUACAGAAUUCGCCAAUGACUCUGGGGGUGAGGAGAUCCCGGGGUACCCGGGCGAAACUAUAUCAGCUAUUGAAGAAGAGCAUGUCUGGAAAAUUUAUAUGGAUGGUUCCUUCAACUCGCACGGAAGCGAUGCGAGAGUAAUAAUCAUCGAUCCGGAUAAGGUGAAGCUAUGUUAUGCCUUGCAAUUCGGGUUCAAGGCCUCAAACAACGAAGCCGGAUAUGAAGCUAUGAUAGUGGGGCUAAGGAUGUCGAAGGCCUUGGGCGCAAAAAGAGUCCACAUCAAAAGUGACUCUCAAUUGGUGGUCGGUCAGAUCAACUCAAAAUAUCAGGCUAAGGAAGAAAAUAUGAAGGGGUACCUCGGGAGAAGAAGAGAAUUAAUAUCUCAAUUUGCUGAGGUCAAUGUGGAAAGAGUUCUACGAUUAGAAAAUUGUGAAGCUGAUAACCUCGCCAAAAUGGCUUCCUUCGGUGCAACUCAGUCGGUUGGUCCAAUCACUGCUGAGUACGUACCUACACUCAGUGUUAAUCUACUUGAGCCAGAAGAAAUAGGGUCGAUAACUGCUGGGGUACCCUGGAUGCAACCAAUCAUAGGAUACCUCAGAAGUGGGGAUCUGCCCUCAAAUAAGAAUGAAGCAAGGAAGCUAAAGUACAAAGCUGCUCGAUAUUGUCUCAUCGAGGAUACCUUAUUCAGAAGAGGGUUUACCCUCCCUUACUUAAAGUGCUUGGGAAAUGAACAUGCCGAAUAUGUCAUGAGAGAGAUACACGAAGGGACUUACGGUAACCACUAUGGAGCACAAUCAUUGGCACAGAAGGCUCUUCAUCAAGGAUUUUAUUGGCCUACGAUGCAUAAGUAUGCAAUUGUAGCCGUUGACUAUUUCACAAAGUGGGUAGAAGCGGAGCCGUUGGCAAGCAUUACGGAGAGAAAAACCACUGAUUUUGUUUGGAGGAACCUCAUAUGCAGAUAUGAUAUCCCUAAUGCAAUUGUCAGCGACAACGGGAAGCAAUUCGAUAACGAAAAAUUUCAGAACCUCUCACAGAACCGCAUACUUUGAUGAAGCCGAGAAUGCCUCUAUGAUUGCGUUCAAUCUUGAUUUUGUUGAAGAAAAAAGGGCCAAAGCAGAAUUGAAGGUUGCAAUAUACCAGCACCGCAUUUCAGAUUUAUAUGACAAGAGGGUACGCCCCAGAUCAUUCAAGAAAGGGGAUUUAGUCCUACGAAGGGUAACUCAGAAUACCCGGGUACCCUCGGAGGGCUCUUUCGGAGCCAAUUGGGAAGGCCCAUAUCGUAUAGACAAGCCGGUAGGUUCGGACAAGCCGGUAGGUUCAGGGGCAUACAGACUACUCCACAUGGAUGGAACAAUCGUCAAGCAUCCCUGGAAUGCCGCAAUGCUGAGGAAGUACUACUAACAUGAGGACAAUGUCUUAAACCUUAUCGUUCACUUUAUCUAUUUCUUAUUUUCUUUACUAUGUGUGCAAUGUGGUAAAGCCAUGAAAGGUACUUAGGGUACCCCGUAUGUGCAAGUGAAAUUUUUAAUUCCCUAAGUCCUAGAGAGUGGAUAUCUAUACGGUUUCCUAUUCUCAUUGGGAUAAUGAGUCAGUCUUAUGUAAUGUUCUCCUUUUGAUUACCGAAUGUGAUUAUGGUUAAAUUUUCGCCAUUAAUGUGACUCUCUCUUAUUACGCCAUGUCUUAUUCAACUAUAGUUGCUCCAUUUCAAGAUAAUCAGGGGAACCUGAGGUAUCUGACUCGAUUCGAUCGUGAAGAUCUGUUCGAGGUCAACGCCAAUAAGAAAUAAUACAACAAAAUUAAAUAGGGAGGGUCAGAGAAGGCCCGAGGGUGAGGUAAACCAGCAUACUCUAGCGCCAUGAGGUUCCGUUAAGGUAUGCACACGCCCACACCUCAAUUCUUUUACUUGAGCCAAGUAAAGAAUAGAUAAACGAAACAAGGUAGGCAAGCGUGCCCCUCUAUUCGCAUUAUUUUAUUAAAUAUUGACUAGAAGCGGAUGGCAAAAAAAGCAUGUUUUUUACCAUUUCUGUAAGAAAAUGGGCCAAGAAGGUCUUCGAAAAAAAAAGGAGGGUACCCGGGGUACCCAAGAAACUCCACAAGUCUAUUUGAGAUACGCCAUAAUCUUUAUUUUAUCCUAGUUGCGCCAAAUAUGAAUUUCGUUUUAUCUUAUGAUGAUAUGCGAAUUAUUAAAUUAUUUUGAGAUACGCCAUAAUCUUUAUUAAGACGAGCAAUGAGCACAUCUACGGAAAUCAUCACUUAAGCGCCAAAAAUACAUCAGGGGGGUACCUGGGGCACCCGAGGAACCCCUGCGAGGCUACGCAAAUCAAUCAUAAGCAAGGAAUUCAAUAGCACGCCAAAUAAAGUAUAUUGCAGAAGUUAAUGCGAACGAGUAGGCAAGAUUGCUGAGGCAACCUUCUAAAAGACAAGUAUCCCAACACAUCAAAAGGAUAAUACCAUACUACAAAAGGUACAUAAGCAAAGAAAGAAAGCUGCUAAGACAUCUCAAUCAUAAGCAAGGAAUUCAAUGGCACGCCAAAUAAAGUAUAUUGCAGAAGUUAAUGCGAACGAGUAGGCAAGAUUGCUGAGGCAACCUUCUAAAAGACAAGUAUCCCAACACAUCAAAAGGAUAAUACCAUACUACAAAAGGUACAUAAGCAAAGAAAGAAAGCUGCUAAGACAUCUCGAGAUAAAAUUUUGAAUAACAAGUAAGAUCAAGCAGAAGGGGGGACAUCCUCUCCACCGUUCCCCUGAAUGGGGGCAUCAACAGGAACACUCGCAGUCAAAGAGCGGCUAUCCGCAUGAACAGCGCUAACCGAAGGGAGAUCCGCCUGGGGUACCUGGGGUACCCCAAAAGAUUGCUGUGGGCUGUGAGAUGGGGGAGCCUGGGUAGCCCUCUUGUCCUCUAUCGCUUUAAGGAUGGCCGACUUGUCCACCCAUUUCUCCACCCGGGAUACCACCAGCUCAGGCUCGACGCUCCAGACCUCAGUAUGAUAAGAGUAAAGGCCUUGUCCAUCAUCUCUGGUUGGCGAGAUAGUAGCUCGCCGUGCUUAGACUCCGCCUCUUCCAACUUCCUAGACAAUCGGCUGUUCUCCCAGGCGUGGUCGUCCAAGCGCCUUUGGAAAGCCCUGACCUCCUCUCCUAGCUUCUCUUCCCGAGACUGGCCGAGCCUAACCUCACCUCGCAGCCUCUCUACCUCGGUCUGUACAGCCGAGAUGCCACUAAGGUCUCGGAGACCGUGGCUAAGGUAGAAAGCUGCCUACACAAAUAAUAAUAAAGAAAAUGAAAGGGAGCCAAGACGAUAUUAAAAGAAAAAAAGAGAAAGAAUGAAAAGAAAAGAGUGAGAGGCACUCACGUCAUGACAAGCUUUGAGCGCUCGGCUAUAGCGCUCAUUUAAAUCUAAUUUAUCUGACUUCAUUGCCCCGUCUGUGGAAAUACUCUCAGAGGAAUGAAGGAAGCAAUCAAUCAGGUGCGAUAUCUGCUUGUUAGCCACUGGAUCCAGCUCGCCCUCUAUAAGGUCUCCAGGAGCCGUGAAAAGGGAUCCAAACUUCCUCUUGUAGGUAGCCGGGGUACCCCGAGAACCCCCAAGAGAGGAGACGGUCAAUUUACCUUUGUCGCCUGGAACAACGGGAGGUUAGUCACCUUUUGCGGAGGUACCCAGGGUACCGGAGGAGCUGCCGCUCAUGCGACUGAAGAAAGCGUCAAAAGGAGGAGCUACCGCUCAUGCGACUGAAGAAGGCGUCAAAAUCUUCGGCAAAAGGGUUCAUGCCUAUCUAACAUAAAAAAAAAAAAAAGAGGGGAGACAAAGAGACAAAUCAGGAAAAUAAACAACAGAGUCGUCAUUGGCAAAAAGGCACAUUAAGAAAAAAUAAGAAAUGGCCACCAAAGCAUAAAAAAAAAAGUUUGUUCAAAUAAUGGGGGCACCCCACAGAACCAAUGAAGGCGGGGUACCCCAGCAACACCACAUAGCCAUACGUGAAUCGCCCCCCGAAGAAGACUGAAAACUCUCCUUAAUCAGACCAGCUCUCGCUAACUAGGAAGUGCAUAGAACAUCACCUUUACUCUGCAAAAUCUGAAACUUCUCUAUAACACCAUUCACUUUCCUCCCCACUUCAUGGAUUGGGCACGUUCCCUUGGUCCAAGUGAUGUCUGCAAAAAUCCCAAAAAAUAAUGAAUAAGAAGAAAAUUCAUGCGAAGAGGUGUAUAUAUACAUAGAAAAUGAGAGAAGAGGAAAGAAACACAUACUAUCUUCAUUGAAGAAGUUCCGAACUUGCACAACUUCAUUCCCCGCUGGAAUGUUCUUCCCCCACUCGCCCUCAGCCAUAAACCACCCAUAUCUGUAGCCCUUUUUCAGCAAGGUAAGAAGAAAAUUCAUGCGAAGAGGUGUAUAUAUACAUAGAAAAUGAGAGAAGAGGAAAGAAACACAUACUAUCUUCAUUGAAGAAGUUCCGAACUUGCACAACUUCAUUCCCCGCUGGAAUGUUCUUCCCCCACUCGCCCUCAGCCAUAAACCACCCAUAUCUGUAGCCCUUUUUCAGCAAGGUAUCCGGUCUCACCAAAUUACCAUGAACCCCCCAAGUAGCAAAAUAGGCUACGGAUAAACCAGCGGGCUUCUUCAACUGAUAAAGCUCCCUUAGAUCUCCAUAAGAAAUAUCUUCCCCAAAAAUAUCUAGCCACAAAACCUCCAGACCCGUGAGUAAUCUCCAACAGAGUAAGGAUAAUUGUCCGGGGAGCAAUUUUCAUCUCAGCGAACAUUUUUCUAAAAAAUGGCUGAAGGGGUAAACGGAGACCUAAGUAAAAAAGGUUGAUAUGAAGGGCAACACCAUCAGAAUGAGGGUGCUCGGGGCGCUCGCCCUUGCGAGGUACCCUAAGGUGGACAGACUGAGGUAUGUUGUACUUGGCUCUAACCCUUUCUAAGUCUCUCAGAGUAGCCGGCCUACCCCUUAGUGCAUAGAGCUUACGAGCUACAUGGACAGAGGGGGAGAUCAGGGGAGGUUCUGGAAUGCUGACAGGAACAGGAGAUUUGGGUCUGGAUGUCUUUGCACGAGUUUUUCUAUGGGCUGACUUGGCUGGGUGUUUGCCUUUAAUCUUUGAUUUUUUAUUAGGUUUGGUUCGAGAUAACUUGGGACUAGCUGUAGGGGAUCCAUUGUCGUCACUAAGGGAUAUAUAAGGGGCUGAAUCAGAAAGGGGAGCCUCCUCACUCGUCUCCCCCGGCUCCCUGACCACAUUACGACCCUUUUUCCCAAAAGUUUUUCUCCCCAUCUUGUUCUCCUAAAAACACAAGACACAAGUUGAAAAAGAAAGCCUCCACAUCAAAACAUACCCCCACAACUUCAUACCUCAUCCAUCACAAGCCAAACACCAACAUCCACCAAUAAAAGCAUAAACAAAAAAGAAAAAUGCCAACACUUUGCAUGAAAACCGGAAACAAAUCCAGAAACAAAGCCACAACAUUACUUUUCAAAAUAAAGAAGCCAAAAAUAGGUAUAAAAAUUCAUACCUAGAUCUCACCGAGAGCAGCAAAUUUCAGUCGCCAAAGAGUAAAGUUUUAGACUAUAAAUCACCAAGAGAAGUCACAGAUCGCCGAAAAAUGCUUAAAAGAUGGAGCUGUGCAGAGUCUGUCAUGGACACAAUGAAAUCCGUUAAAAAAAAAAAUGAGCUUGGAUGAUAUAAAAAAAAUGGAGGGAGCCUGGAGAUAUAAAAAAAAGAGGAAGUCAGAAUUAAAAAAAAAAAAAGGAAAUCAGAAUAAGAAAAAAAAAAGAAAAAAAAGAAGAAGAAAUUGUCUGGCUGAUUUAAAAGGAAAAAGAGGAGGAGCAUGGAUUAUAAAAAAAAAUAAAUGAAGAGGCUUGUGGUAAGGCCAGUGGAAGAAACGAAGAAGAAGCAAAAUGGGGGGGAGAAGAUGGCUUACCACAAGGAGAUCACUGCACCACUAGCCGAACGCCAUCGUCAUGCCACCACCGGAAAUCACGGGAACCAAGGCUGGCCGAGAAGGAAAAAAAAAAGGAAAGAAAAAAAAAAGGAAAAAAAAAGAAGAUGAAAAGAAAAAAAGGGAGUAAAAGUUGCCUGGAAGAAGAUAAAGAAAAGAGAAAAAUGAGGAAUGCAAAAAGAGAAAGAAAAUGUGAUGGUGGGCCGAGAGCAAGCAAAGAAAAAAAAAAAAAAGGAAGAAAGGAGAUGGAAGCCGAAAGGGCAAGAAGCAAAAGGCAGAAUAAAGAAGAAAAAAUGGAGAUGGGGAGGCGUUGGAAAUUGGAGAAGAAGAGAAAAAGUUUUUGGGAAUUGCAAAAUGACAGAGAAUAAAGUGGGAGUGAAAACGUACAGAAAGUGGUUUGUUUAAAAAAAAAAACAAAUUGCACACGAUGCGAAGCUUGGGGUUGAAAUGAUUUGACUGGUUUUGAAAUUUGAAAGCCAGAGCAAACAAGAAGUCACUGGAAGCAUUUAAAUUUGAUGGGAGAUUUUUUGGGAGUUUCAAAAUAAAGUGGUAACAUAAAAGGAGUGAACAAUAGAGAUUUAGGUGUUAAUAACCAAUUGAACACAUCUCAGCUGUUGAACACUUUAGUCAUCAAAUCUAUUGGCUGAAUCAGAAAAUGACAAAAUUUGGGGUACAAUGCAAGUGUUGCAAGAUAGGCGGACCCAUUGGCUCUGCCGCUCACCGACCUUUGAUUUAUUGACUAGUCGCCUUCCUUAGCCAACUUGUUUUGAUGGCUGUGGAAAUGAACGGCUCUUGUCGUGACGACGUUCUUAAGAUGCUAGCACGUGUCCAGUCUCUGUACAUAAAAAGUGAACCCGAAGUGGACGGCCGCACGUACAAACCCCAGGGACGUGUGGCGAUGAGCCGUUCUUGGAAUUCUUUUGAAUAGGCUUUAGUCCAUUAGUGAGUAGACCCAUGAACUCAUUUGUACUCUCGCUGCUGUAAUGGCCUGAUGGGCUCCAAGCUCUAUGAUUGUAGCGGCUCUUGACAUGUUUAAAAUUCUAGUUACAAAUUACUGCUUAAAAUGUUGGAGAUAAUAAAUGUGCUUAUCAUCAAAUCGACUACAGAAAAGCCUUCAAUCCAGAAAUAUGCCUCAAAUCUUUGACAGUCAACAAGGCCUGUGUUAGGAAAUUAGUGAUGUACAGAGUUUCCAAGGCAUAUAGAGUGAAAGUUGACAUACUAUGCAGUUCAAAUACCACUGUACCAGUCACUAAUCGAUAUAAUAACAGCAAAAAGAAUGUGACUCAAUGUUACAGCUCAAAAGUAAAAUAAAGGCGUAAAAAUGAUAUUGAACAGACAAUCUAAGAAGACUAUAAUAGAUGUUUGGGAAGGAAAUAUGAUGCCAAUGAUGAAGCGCCACGUGUCGAUAUUUAAGAGAUUAAUUUAUCUCGGGUACCUCGGGUACACCAUGAAAUGAUACAAAAGUCUUCGUAAAUAUGUGGAGGGAUAUGUGGGCCCCGAAUCUCAAAAAGAUCGGUUUGAUACGUGUCAAAAAAUAAGGAAAUCUCGUGCCGCAAAAGAGGAGACAGCCGCCUGUCACGCCAGCAAAUCCGCCAAAAGUGUGAUAUUGUGACAGUUGGGACCACCAGCUUUUCCUGCUACGCCUGCAAAAUUACAACGAAAUUGCAGAGGUACGCGGGACCACUCCACUACGCCCAGCACGUGAAUACACCACAAACUUGCGCUCUACUCAUAUUUUUGAAACGUCUAAGCCGCUAUACGCAUGAAAAUAAGAAUAUUCCUGACAUGACAGCAAGGAACACCACUAAAAUAGCGCCAGGUGGCACGGCGACCGGGGUACACCAUAUAAAUACUCAGGUUUGAUUUUUAUCAAUGGAGUGAACACACUCACCACAAAAAAACUAGGGUUUCUUCAACCUCAAAAUCUCCAUUACCGAGAACUUGCAAGCUCUCUAACCUGAGAUAACCCAACUCUGACUUGAGCGUCGGAGUGUGGUAGCCGGCCACCCCCGGCUCCACCUCUGACCUCGUUUUUUAUUGUUUCGCAGGUUUAAGGCGAGUUUCACCAGUCCUCCGCACCUAAAGUCAGACCCCCUCCAUAUCCUCCGUCAUCUCAAUCCUCAUUCGCUCCACAAAAAGCCUAAAUAGCCCACACGUGCCGAACAAGCGAGGUACCCCGCUCCUCGACAAAAAUAUAAAUUUAUUGCUCUUAGGUUGGUUUUGUGGUUUUUUAUUCAUUGACCCAAAAUCAGCCGCAAACAGUAACAAAAUUUUUUAAUAAAUAUUUCCCAGUGCAUAAAACCAAUGCUAUUCGCAGGAAAAUAUCAGAUUUUACCCAGAGAUAGGAUGAGCAGUUUUUCGAAACAUGGAAGCGAUUCAAUGGGCUACUCUUGAAGUGUCCACAUCAUGGGUACGAGAAAUGACACAAAUGCCAAUAUUUUUUGGAGGGAUUAUUGCCGAAUGUGCAAGAAUGACUAAUGGCAACAAGUGGAUGAGAGCUAAUGUCAAAAAGUGCAUCAGAGAUUUGAGAAUUCUUCCAGCGACAAGCGAAUAAUUCCCAACAACGGAGUCGAUCGCUCAGGAAUACUAAAAGAAUUAAGGGAGUAAAUGAGGUUUAUCUUGGCGAGUCAAGUUCAGAAAUUAAAGAAGUCAAAGCGAUAAUUGAAGGUCUUUCUCGACAAAUAGCAUCGUUAACGACUGCUAAAUCAACAGAACCAUAUGACCAUGACUCAUACUCAGAUCAAGCCAAUGCCAUAUGUGUAAUGAGAAAACUAUCUAAUUACAACCCAUACGCCAAUACAUAUAACCCUGGAUGGAGAGACAACCCCAAUUUUUCACGGUCUCAAGGAUUCCAACAGAAUGGACCAGCAGCUCCAGCUCCACCAAUGCAACAAAUUCCUCAAGUUCCGCAAGUCUCUCAGUCACCAUUUAGACCAUACAAUCAAAACUAGAAUUACUCUCAACCCAUACUCACCAUCGGAAGAGAAAGAAGAAACCAGCCCACGAGAAUAUGUUUCCAAAGCUCAAUUUCCUCAGAGGUUAAUAAAGGAAAGAAAGAAAAAUCCACAGAUGAGAUUCUUGAAAUCUUCAAACAGAUACGUGUUAACAUCCCUUUACUUGAUGCUAUAAAACAAGUUACAUCUUAUGCCAAGUUUCUUAAAGACCUUUGUACUAAAAAGAGAAACAUUCACGUUUAAAAGAAUGCAUUUUUAACAGAAAACAUUAGUUCUAUACUCCAACACAAAAUUCCUUUAAAAUGCAAAUAUCCAGGAUCCCCCACUAUCUCAUAUAGUAUAGGGAACCAUACAAUUGAGAAUGCUUUGUUGGAUUUAGGAGCUAGUGUAAAUCUGUUACCUUACUCAGUUUUUGUGAAACUUGGACUAGAAGAAUUACACCCAACUCCAGUGGUGUUACAGCUUACAGAUCGGUCCACGAAAAUUCCUCGUGGUAUUGUGGAGGACGUGCUUAUCUAGGUGGACAAGUUUUAUUUUCUUGUUGAUUUAAUUGUAAUUGACACUCAACCAACACGGGAUUCAAGGAAGCACAUCCCCAUUAUUCUAGGCCGACCUUUCUUGGUAACCGCUGAUGCUCACAUUCAAUGCAGAACUGGAAAUAUGCAGUUGUCCUUUGGCAACAUGAUUAUGGAGCUAAACAUCUUCAACAUUGCUAAACAACCUCACAAUACAGAUGAUAGAAUUGUUGAUGUGGAUUUAAUUGAAGCAUUAGUUGAUGACACUUUUCUUUCAAACCUUAGUAAUGACCCUUUACAAACAUGUUUAACUCACUUUGGUUUUGAUUUUGAUAUUGACAGAUCAGUUGAUGAGGUCAACGCCCUGCUUGACUCAGCACCAUCCAUGGACACUAAUAAAUGGAAGUCAAGAGUUGAACAACUAGCACCGUCAGAGAAGAAACUCAUCCCAUCAUCAGAAUCACCACCGAAACUCGAGCUCAAACCAUUACUCAAUACAUUGGAAUAUGCGUUUUUGGGAGAAGAAAGUACUCUACCGGUAAUCAUCUCAUCAUCCCCCAAUAACGAACAAAAAAGUAAGUUGUUGGAUGUUUUAAAAGAGCACAAAGGAGCAUUAGGAUGUACCAUAGCAGACAUUAAAGGUAUAAACCCAGUAGACUGCAUGCAUUACAUUCACCUUGAUGAAAAUGCUAAACCUACUAGGGAAAUGCAACGUCAGUUAAAUCCUAACAUGAAAGAAGUUGUUAGAACUGAAUUCCUUAAACUAUUAGAUGCAAGUAUCAUUUACCCCAUUUUUGAUAGUUCAUGGGUCAGUCAUGUACAAAUUGUCCCAAAAAAGUCAGGAGUCACGGUAGUUACGAAUGCCUAUAAUGAAUUGAUACUCACUAUAGUGACUACAGGAUGACGUGUAAUUUUGUCACACGUAAAGACCAUUUUCCUUUACCAUUUAUCGAUCAAAUGCUUGAUAGAUUAGCAGGCCAUGAAUUUUAUUGCUUUCUAGAUGGUUACUCAGGAUAUAAUUAGAUUCCCAUAGCACCAAAAGAUCAAGAGAAAAUCAUUUUCACUUGCCCUUUUGACACUCUUGCAUAUAGGAGGAUGCCAUUUGGAUUAUGUAAUGCACCUGCUACAUUUCAACGAUGCAUGUUGAGCAUUUUUUCUGAUAUGGUUGAACGAAUCCUUGAAGUCUUUAUGGAUGACUUUUCUGUCUUUGCUGAUUCAUUUGAUCAAUGUUUACAUCAUCUAACACUAGUUCUGCAGGGAUGUAUCGAGAAGAACUUAGUCUUAAAUUGGGAGAAGUUCCAUUUUAUGGUAAAAUAAUGUAUUGUUUUCGGUCACAUCAUUUCGAGCAAAGGUAUUGAGGUUGACAAAGCCAAGGUGGAUCUCAUUUCUAAUCUUCCUACACCCAAAACUGUCAGAGAAGUAAGAUCUUUCCUUGGGCAUGCUGGUUUUUAUAGAUGUUUCAUUAAAGAUUUUAGUAAAGUUUCUAGACCCUUAUGCAAUUUACUUGCUAAGGAUGUACCUUUUGUCUUUAAUGAUUCAUGUCUUGUGGUGAUUAUGCAGUAGGAGCAGUAUUAAAUUUGAACUCAUGUGUGAUGCAUCUGAUUAUGCAGUAGGAGCAGUAUUAAGACAAAGAGUUGAUCAAAUUCCCCAUGUUAUUUACUAUGCUAGUAUGACAUUGAAUGAUGCACAGUUGAACUAUUCAACUAUUGAAAAAGAAAUGCUAGCAGUAGUGUUUGUAUUGGAAAAAUUUCGAUCUUAUCUUAUCAGUUGUAAAAUAAUUGUGUUCACAGAUCAUACUGCUCUCAAAUAUCUUCUCACAAAGAGAGAUGCAAAAGCUAGACUAAUUCGUUGAGUGUUACUUUUUGCAGGAAUUUGACUUGAAAUUUAAAGAUAAGAAAGGCACAGAAAAUGUUGUGGUAGACCAUCUCUCUCGUCUCCAUUUUGACACAAUUACAGAACCAUUAACAUUGAAUGAGUCAUUCCUAGAUGAACAAUUGAUGAGUGUGGAAGUAUUACCGUGGUAUGCUGAUAUCGUUAAUUAUCUUGUUACAUGUCAACUUCCAGAGCAUUGGACCAAGCAAGACAAAGCCAAAUUUUUUACGGAAAUAAAGAAUUUCUUUUAGGAUGACCCUUAUUAUUUCAAGUAUUGUGCCUAUCAAAUUGUUAGACGAUGUGUCCCAGAAAGUGAAAUUCAAAAUAUCCUUUUAUUCUGCCAUGAACAAGCUUGUGGAGGCCAUUUCAACGCUAAGAAAACAGCGACUAAAGUUUUACAAUGUGGUUUCUAUUGGCCAACUAUAUUUCGAGACGCUUACACUUUCUAUUCUUCAUGUGAUAGGUGUUAACGAAUGGGGAGCAUUACACGAAGGAAUAUGAUGCCACUAAAUCCAAUUUUAGUGGUUGAGAUUUUUUAUGUAUGGGGUAUCGACUUUAUGGGACUCUUUCCCCCUUCUUUUGGCCAUCAAUACAUAUUGGUUGCUGUUGACUACGUAUCGAAAUGGGUAGAAGCAAUUCCAUGUAGAACUAAUGAUCACAAGGUGGUGAUAGGAUUUUUGAAAAGCAACAUUGUUUCACGCUUUGGAUUCCCUCAAGCGAUAAUCAAUGAUGGUGGUGCCCACUUUUGUAACAAAGCAUUUAAAACUCUUUUGACAAAGUAUUCCAUCACUCACAAAGUGGCGACCCCAUAUCAUCCAUAAACCAAUGGUCAAGUUGAGAUCUCCAAUCGAGAAAUAAAGCACAUAUUAAAAACGACGAUGAGGCCAUACAGAAAAGAUUGGUCAUCAAGACUUGAUGAUGCAUUAUGGGCAUAUAAAACGGCUUUCAAGACCCCGAUUGGGAUGUCAUCCUACAAGCUAGUGUAUGGAAAAGCUUGUCACUUACCUGUGGAACUCGAGCAUCGUGCAUAUUGGGCCAUUAAGAAAUUCAACUUUGACAUGCAGCAAGCUAGCUCAGAAAAAAUAUUAGAACUGGCAGAACUUGAAGAAAUUCACAAUGAUGCAUACGAAAAUGCCAAAAUUUACAAGUAACGAAUGAAAGUCUUUCAAGACAAGCAAAUUAUGAGAAAAUCUUUCACUCCAGGUCAGAAAGUGCUUUUAUUCAAUUCUCGCUUGCACCUACUCCCAGGUAAGUCACGCUCUCGAUGGUCUAGCCUUUUUAUUGUUCAUACUAUUUUUCCACAUGGAGCAAUUGAAAUUAAAGAUCCAAAGAACGGUGUCACGUUUAAAGUUAAUGGUCAAAGAUUAAAGUCAAAUCUAGAGUACCAACCACAUGGAGAAGACACCGAAAUAAAUUUGAGUGACCCACCAGAUUUGAAUUAAGUUUUUCUUUCUUUCUUUUCGGUGAUUUGAUUUUUUUCUUUCUUUCUUUUUAUUAUUCUUUUGCUAAUUGAAAUUAUUUUUGCAUAAGUGUGUUUGUUUAACUAUUAAGUUUUCUCUUAUCAUUGUUAAUCAUGAGUGCCAUCGCUAAACAAUUCCUCCUGGACAUUCUUAAACCACUUCAAAGUGUAAAAUCUCGUCUCAAAAGGCAGAUUCAAUUUCGUAAAACACAUCAUAUUUGGGUUCUGCAACCACCAGAGUUAGUAUCCUAUGUUGAGGAUUUAGAAAGCCAACUCAGAGACAUUGAGAGAAGUGUCUACAACAUCCAAUUGGAGCUUGAGGUAAAUUCAAUAAGAGGACGAUUAUAAUUUUCUUUAUGUGUUUUAGUUUGUUUUUCUUUGUUUGUGUGCUUUAGUUUGUUACCCAGUGAAGUGGCGGAUAAUGGUACUCUGUGACGAUCAAGUCGGUUACUUCAGUUUCCCAUAAUAACUGAUAUUCUGAGGCGAAGGUAUGGACAGAAACGAGAUUCUAGAAAAGCUUUUCAAUCGAUUCCCUUCACUUCCUCAUAAUACCAUCCUUACAAUCUAUAAAGCUCGGUUCGAACGCAUGCAAUUGCUCAUGAGGAAUAACAUACCUGCUGACAUCAUCUAUAAAGCUCGGUCCGAACGCAUGCGAUUACUCAUGAGGAAUAACAUAUCUGCUGACAUCCGUUGGUUAAUCGAAGCUAAAGUACGAUCGGCAGGUGAGUUACCUCCAAAAUUUGUUGCAUACAUGCCUGGUUGUGGUAAAGGAAAUUAUGCAAGAAAACGACGAGCUCGAAGAAUUUCUGUUGCUUGUCAUAAGUGCGCCAGAAUGAGUUGCAAUAAAAGCCCAUGUUCUUUAGGAAUAGUGUCUGAUAACAGGGAAGAUAAGAUUCAAUUCAUUAGGGAUGGCUUGAAUAAGGACUCAUUGGAUGAUAUCCUUUUGUCUCUUGAAACGCAUCUCAGUGGAUAUGUGCAAGGAGCGAUUCUUCAGUUAUGACCAUUAUUCCAGAAAGAGCAUGCAUGAUAUAGUCUCGGGAAUCUGACUAUAAACGACCUUGUUUGCCAGUUUAUAAGAAAACUGGAUAGGAAGCCUAUCCUCGACCCAUAGAGGGCGUUUAAGCCGUUUCUGGACGUAAAACUAGAGGAAGAUGUGAGCCACAGUCGCAACUACCUGUAAAUAUCCUUUCACUUUACUAUUAUUUUAUUUCACUAUUGUUUUAUUGUGUGCAUUAUUGUCUUUAAUAAUUUUAUUACUGUUUAUUUUUUCCUUAUUGCUGUUUGCUUUUUCCUUUUUACUGUUUCCUUUUUGACUCACGAGCCACGUGCUUUACGCGUUAUUUGACAUUGACAUGUUACCUCAUACACAACUGUGACCCACUGUCACCAAGACUCUUAAAUGUGAUUUUUUUUGUCAAGCACUCACAAAUUAUUUUUUGAGAAGUAUCACAAUGGCAGCUACUCUAAAUAGACAAUUCAAGAACAUUUGUGUGCUUUCUGGAUUUACCUAUGGCAAACAUAAAGAGUUCGUUGAGGCAACCGUCGAUCUUGGUCAAAGUAUAGCAGAGAGAAAAUUACACUUGGUGUAUGGAAGAGGUAACCGAGGGUUAUCAAAAUUGGUCUCAGAAGCUGCUUUUGUCAGAGAAAGCCAAGUGUUAGGCAUCAUCCCAAGAGCCCUAAAACUUUUGGACAGUUUGUCUGACUCACCAACUGAAGAAGAGUUAGUCGUCUCAGGUAUGCAAGAAAGAAUAGAUGAAAUGCUUAAUCAUGGUAAUGCUUUUAUUUUCCUUCUAUGAGAUCUUGCAACACUAGAGGCACUUAUCACACUAGCAUCUUGGGCCCAUCUGCACAUUCACCAGAAACCUAUUGAUUUGUUAAAUGUCAAUAACUUUUAUGAUGGCUUCAUCGCAUUUCUUAACCAUGCAAUAAAAAACUAUUUCAUUCCUUCCACAGCGAAAAAACUUUUUAUUUGUGCACGCACUGCUAAUAAGCUACUUGAUCUGUUACAAGCUUAUAAACUGGAGCUAGACCCCUGGACCUUUGUGUUGGAGCGUCCAAAUAAUGAUGGUAACAGUAGCCGCUGUAAGAAGUACAAAUUAGAUUUAACUCUCCGCUUGUAAAUAUUUUCUUCUGUGUUGCACCACCCAGGUGAUGUCUUCUAAACUCUACUUUUUUCCUUUCAAACAUUAAGGACAAUGUUUCGUUCUGGUUGGGGGGAGGGAAUAGUUGACAAUUGUGGAAUGUUGGUUAAGUUUUUACUAAUUUUUUUAUUAUAGAGACUAACCGUGGCUAACUUUUUGUGUUGAAGAUGGCUGAAUAUAGAGUAUAGUUACUCUAGAAACGCAUCUUCUUCGUUUGAAAAAAAUAAAAUAAAAUAAAAUAAUAAAAAAUAUUCCAGAUAUUUUCUUUUUCUUUAUUAAGCUUUGACAAUUAUUUUUUUUCUAACUUUUUCUUUCUAAUUUCUCCUUUAUAAAUAUACACUUUCAAAUUUUUGAGUUAAAGAUGGUGGAAUAUAGAGUGUAGUGCCUCUAGAAACACAUCUUCUUAGUUAAAAAAAAAAACCAUUUUCUUUUUCUAUCAUUUUAAUUGUAACUUUUCUAAUUAGUUUUUCUGCAUCAUUUUCACAUUUCUACAUGCAUAUUUUCCUUUCAUGUUUAGAAUAGGUUGGGGGGUAGAAUGUUGUUUGAAAAAAAAAAAAGUUGUGUGAUUUGUUUUAACAUUGGAUGACAUGAUGAAUUUCAAAUUUUAGUAUUUGUAUUAUUUUGGAGAGUAAUCCCUUUGCCCAUUUUUCAUACAACUUAGCAGUUUAUUAUUUUAUACACGAUCUCUAGAUUUCUUUUGAGUUAACCCUUAAAAAAAUUAUAAAAUUAAAAAAAAAAGAAAAAAAAAUGUGUGUUGUUAUUCUAAACUCUACUUUUUUCCUUUCAAACAUUAAGGACAAUGUUUCGUUCUGGUUGGGGGGAGGGAAUAGUUGACAAUUGUGGAAUGUUGGUUAAGUUUUUACUAAUUUUUUUAUUAUAGAGACUAACCGUGGCUAACUUUUUGUGUUGAAGAUGGCUGAAUAUAGAGUAUAGUUACUCUAGAAACGCAUCUUCUUCGUUUGAAAAAAAUAAAAUAAAAUAAAAUAAUAAAAAAUAUUCCAGAUAUUUUCUUUUUCUUUAUUAAGCUUUGACAAUUAUUUUUUUUCUAACUUUUUCUUUCUAAUUUCUCCUUUAUAAAUAUACACUUUCAAAUUUUUGAGUUAAAGAUGGUGGAAUAUAGAGUGUAGUGCCUCUAGAAACACAUCUUCUUAGUUAAAAAAAAAAACCAUUUUCUUUUUCUAUCAUUUUAAUUGUAACUUUUCUAAUUAGUUUUUCUGCAUCAUUUUCACAUUUCUACAUGCAUAUUUUCCUUUCAUGUUUAGAAUAGGUUGGGGGGUAGAAUGUUGUUUGAAAAAAAAAAAAGUUGUGUGAUUUGUUUUAACAUUGGAUGACAUGAUGAAUUUCAAAUUUUAGUAUUUGUAUUAUUUUGGAGAGUAAUCCCUUUGCCCAUUUUUCAUACAACUUAGCAGUUUAUUAUUUUAUACACGAUCUCUAGAUUUCUUUUGAGUUAACCCUUAAAAAAAUUAUAAAAUUAAAAAAAAAAAGAAAAAAAAAUGUGUGUUGUUAUAUUUGGAGGCCCAUCUAACUAGUAGAUAUGAAAGAUUAUUUAGAGCCCUAAAAGACAAUGGAAAAGCCAUCUUUGAUCCGUUUGAGCCUUUCUAGCCAUUCAUUUUGUGAAAUAUCCACAGUUAACCCGUUUGAGCCUUUAUUAUAGAGACUAACCGUGGCUAACUUUUUGUGUUGAAGAUGGCUGAAUAUAGAGUAUAGUUACUCUAGAAACGCAUCUUCUUCGUUUGAAAAAAAUAAAAUAAAAUAAAAUAAUAAAAAAUAUUCCAGAUAUUUUCUUUUUCUUUAUUAAGCUUUGACAAUUAUUUUUUUUCUAACUUUUUCUUUCUAAUUUCUCCUUUAUAAAUAUACACUUUCAAAUUUUUGAGUUAAAGAUGGUGGAAUAUAGAGUGUAGUGCCUCUAGAAACACAUCUUCUUAGUUAAAAAAAAAAACCAUUUUCUUUUUCUAUCAUUUUAAUUGUAACUUUUCUAAUUAGUUUUUCUGCAUCAUUUUCACAUUUCUACAUGCAUAUUUUCCUUUCAUGUUUAGAAUAGGUUGGGGGGUAGAAUGUUGUUUGAAAAAAAAAAAAGUUGUGUGAUUUGUUUUAACAUUGGAUGACAUGAUGAAUUUCAAAUUUUAGUAUUUGUAUUAUUUUGGAGAGUAAUCCCUUUGCCCAUUUUUCAUACAACUUAGCAGUUUAUUAUUUUAUACACGAUCUCUAGAUUUCUUUUGAGUUAACCCUUAAAAAAAUUAUAAAAUUAAAAAAAAAAAGAAAAAAAAAUGUGUGUUGUUAUAUUUGGAGGCCCAUCUAACUAGUAGAUAUGAAAGAUUAUUUAGAGCCCUAAAAGACAAUGGAAAAGCCAUCUUUGAUCCGUUUGAGCCUUUCUAGCCAUUCAUUUUGUGAAAUAUCCACAGUUAACCCGUUUGAGCCUUUAAAAAAAAACUUUUUCUUUGUCAAACUUAUCAUCUUGACCCACUCUGAUUUGGAGUAUUAACCGAUAUCUUACAAGUUCCAUCACCUAUUUAUGUUUGAGAAAAAUGUAAAUAAUUAUUUUGUUCAGUGAAGUUGUGCCAAACAAAAGCAAAAAGAAAAAAUUGUUGUUAAAAAAAUAAAUAAAUAACAAUAAUAGGUGAAAUCCACCUUGCAACUUUAAAAAAAAAAAGGAGAAAAAAAUCUCUACAUUUUUCUCAAACAUACAUUUUGUUUUCCUUAUUUCCCCUCUUUUGUUAGCCAUGUCCCUAGCCUACGUUACGUCCUAAUAAAAGACCUUCUUGAUUUUAGGGAACUAUAGUCUGAUAUAGAAGCUAGUUAUAUGGGCUAAAAAGAUGUAGUGGUGCAUAAUAAAAAUAAAUAAAUAAAUAAAUUAGGUUGACUAGCAUUUUUGUUUGAAUUGAGAUCGUAUUAUUUCUGAGCUGAGGGCAUAUUUCUUUCAUCUUGGUGAGAGCGUGUGACAUUACUUCUUUAUUAUUUUCUCUCAAAUUCAGCAUUCAUUGAAGUGACUAUUUUUAUUGGGUUUAAUUUCCUUGUGAGAGUGUCACUACUUCCAGUGAGAUUUUGGGGUUUAACAUGUCAUUCUUGAAAACAGCUGUGACAAAGUCUACUGGGUUGAUUCAUGUGGAUGGUUGAUGUGGGUGUGAUGUUUAUUUAGACUGGAGAUAAUGCUUAUAUUUUUAUUUGAUUACUAUCAUUAGUCUGAUUGAAUAAACAUGAUUGUUAAAAAAAAAAUCAUUUUGGAUUUGAAUUUUGUUUUCGCUUUAUUUACUAGGGACUAGCAAUAAGUUGGUUGGGGGGUGUAUUGAGUGUUAGAAAAUGUAUAUUUAUAAAGGAGAAAAUCGUCAUUUUACACUUCAAAUUUUACUAACACCUUUACUUUUAUGUAUUUAAGCUUCUUGUGAUUUAAUUACGUGUGUUUUAUUUUAAUUAAGUAUUUUAUAUAUUUUAGGGGCAUCAUGGUCAUUUCACAAUGAACGAGAGAUCAGACGGUAAAACGAAUAUCACUUUUGAACUUAGGACAGUCGAAAACCUUAGGAGGAGCAUAAAAGGAAAAAUGUCAUUGUUCACAUGUACGGUACUAUUCACAUGUAUGGUAUUGUUCAUGUUAUUGUUCAUGACACUGUUCACAUAUACGAAACGAUGACGUGGCAUUGACCGAUGAUGUGUCAUUGACUGAUGAGGUGUCACGAUUCUAUUGGACUAAAAUUCUUAUGUACUGUUGAUCAAUGACGUGGCAGCAUAUCAGUGGACCAAAAAUUGCGCGUAUAGUAUAUGCAUAUACAUAGGAUUAUUUUCAACUAAACCGUGCCAUUGUUCAAACCGAGUGAUCAAACCUCGUACUGUUGACUGAUGACGUGGCGCAAUCCUGAGCGUCCACACUGUUUUUAAACCGAUGGCCAUGAUUUACUCAAUAUAUCUAUAAAAAUGGGACCUCUCCCCCCUAAUUUGGCACCUCUGAAUUCAUUUUUGGGCUCCAUUUUCUGUAAUUUCUUCUCCAUAUUGUAUUUUCUAUGUAUUUUAAUAAAUUCUCAUUUUACCCCUAGUUUAAUUAUGAGUAGCUAAUUUUCUUUCAAGCUUGGGUUGUAGGUGAAGUCUCAACAUGUGUCAUGGGCUUUAUUUGGUAAAUUUAUUUUCUCUUCCCCUCUAGUUUUUGUGGAUGUUUUGACUUCUUAUCGACAAAUAAUAAUAAUCUUGUCUAGAUACCGCCCUGGUUUCACCGGCUCUCUAGUACAAGGUUAUUAUUAUUUGGCACGAUAAACUCUUAGCACCAUAUUAAUUAGAGUGUGGUUCAUGAGGUGUGGAUUCCCCCCUUAUGAUUUAAUUGGCACUAAUAAGGAAUAUUUAGCCCAUGGUGCAUGUUGAUAAAGAUCUAGAUAUUCAAGUGCGUCAUUUCAAUAGAUUUCACUUCAAUUUAUUCUCGCUAUUUUAAUUUAAGUUUUAGAAUAUUCCAAAUCAUCUUUACCAUAAAUCCAACCACCCAUUUAGAAAAAUUAAUUCUACACACAAUUAAAAUCCACAUCUUCGUGAGAUCGACACUCGUCACCAUUGAUCUAUUCUACAAUAGAUUCAUGCACUUGCGAGUUCAAUAAAAUUUUCAUAACAAUAACCUCAUAUGCCACAAAAUAGUUUUGUCUAAAUUCUGGUUUGACACAGUAACAUCACCUGUAACAACUGAACCUUGAAGUAUAUACAGACCAUUGCUCUUAUUUCCUUUCAUCACCACAAUUGACCACUUCAUAACCUUUAAGGUUCCUGAUUCAAGCUUAACUAUACACCAUAUUUUAUCCAGUACCCAAAUUGGAAAUUUUAAAAGAAAUGAAUUCAAUGCAAGUAUCAUCAUCAGCACAGAUGGUUAUGUUUUAAUUUGUUUUAUUUUUUGAAAGAGAAUUUGUUUUACAUUAGUAUUAAAGUAAAAAACAAAUUAACCUUGUAUCUUUCAUGGCCUUAUUGGAUUACCUUGAAAGAUUUUCUUGCUCUUUUUUUAGAAGCCCAAUAAAUUCCUUUUACUUCAAAUUCAUAUAAAUUUUAAGUAGAGGUUAGAAGGGAAACAAGUAAAUCUUUUGAUUCUUCUGAAAUUCACACAACAAAUAUAAAAAUUUCUAAAGCUUCUCUCAACGUUGCAUCCUUCAUCAUGCUCACUUUCAUUUUAUAUAUUUCUUGAAUUUUACGAUUAUUUUUUUAACCAAACAUCGAUCCAUCUAUUUUCACAGGCUAUAGCUUUUGUUCCACAUCAACUAGAACACCUCAUUAUCGAACGAACCCUUAGUCUCAUUUGAUUUUUUGCAUGAAAUUAGCUUAUGGUAGUUUUGUUUUACUUUUAUUUAUGGGAAAUUAUCAUUGCACCACCUUUAUUUUGCCUUAUGUUCAUCCAACCACUACAAAAUUUUAACAUGUACUUUGUGUUGUGCAAAUUUUAUUGAAUUCGCAAGUGUACGAAUCUAUUGUAGAAUAGAUUAACGGUGACGAGUGUCGAUCCCAUGAGGAGGUGAAUUUUAAUUACAUGUAGAGUUAAUUUUUGAAUUGGGUGGUUGAUUGGAUUUGUGGUGGAAGUGAUUUAAAUUAUCCUAGAAUUUAAAUGGGAAUGGCGGAAUUAAAUUAAGGUGAAAACUAUUAUAAUUGAUCUUAAAAUUGGAAUUGAAAUGGCGAGAAUAAAUUGAAGAGAAUUCUAUUGAAAUGUGGCACUUGGGUGUCUGGAUCCGUAUCAACAUGCACCAUGGGCUAAAUAUUCCUUAUUAAUGCCAAUUAAAUCAUGAAGGGGGAAUCCACACCUCAUGAACCGCACUCUAAUCAAUAUGGUGCUAAGGGUUUACCGUGCCAAAUAAUAAUAACCUUGCACUAGGGAGCCGGUGAAACCAGGGCGGUAUCUAGACAAGAUUAUUAUUAUUUGUCGACGAGAAGACAAAACAUCCACAAAAACUAGAGGGGAAGAGAAAAUAAAUUUACCAAAUAAAGCUCAUGACACAUGUUGAGACUUCACCUUUAAUCCAAGCUUGAAAGAAAAUUAGCUACUCAUAAUUGAACUAGGGGCAAAAUGGAAAUUUAUUAAAAUACAUAGAAAAUAUAAUAUGGGGAAGGAAUUACAGAAAUAGGAGCUUAAAAAGUAAAUCAUGGCCAUCGAAUUAAAAACAGUUUGGACGCUCAGGAUUGCGUCACGUCAUCAGUCAACAGUACGCGGUUUGAACAGUCAACUGGUUUGAACAGUGACGCGGUUUGAUUGAAAAUAAUCCUGUGUAUAUGCAUGAACCGUACGCGUAAUUUUUAGUCCACUGAUAUGCUGCCACGUCAUCAAUCAACAGUACAUAAGAAUUUUAGUCCAAUAGAAUCGUGACACCUCAUCAGGCAAUGCCACAUCAUCGGUCAAUGACACGUCAUCGUUUCGUAUAUGUGAACAGUGUCAUGAACAAUAACAUGGACAAUACCGUACAUGUGAAUAGUGAUAUUUUUCCUUUUAUGCUCCUCCUAAAGUUUUCGACUGUCCUGAGUUCAAAAGUGAUGUUCGUUUUGCCGUCUGAUCUCUCGUUCAUUGUGAAAUGACCAUAAUGCCCCUAAAAUAUAUAAAAUACUUAAUUAAAAUAAAGCACACAUAAUUAAAUCACAAGAAACUUAAAUAUAUAAAAGUAAGGGUGUUAGUAAAACUUGAAGUGUAAAAUGACAAUUUUCUCCUUUAUAAAUAUACAUUUUCUAACACUCAACACUUUGUGCCACCUUUCUUUUCACAUUUGUAUCAACUAGCCACUUUUGCAUUAACCAUAUUAAAUAAUUUUAAUAAAAUAACAAUUUUCCCCCAAAUAAAUUAAAAGACCAUUUUAUUUUAUAAAAACUUUAAAAAAUAAAAAAUAUAAUGAUAAAAAUAUCCCUAAAUUUAAUAAAAAUAAUCCCAAAAUUAGAAUUUUUAUUUUUAAUAAAAAUUAUUGUAAUAUAAAAUUAUAAUUAUAAAAAUAAUUGUAAAAUUUUGGGAUUUAAUAAAAAUGAUUUAUUCUUUUAAGAAAUAAAUUCAGUUAUUUUAAUAAAAUUUUACAAAAUUAUAAUUUUUUAAUAAAUAAAUUCAUUUAUUUUUAUUAAAAUUUUGUAAAAUUAUCAUUUUUAAUAAAAAUAAUUAUUAAAAUUUUGUAAAAUCUAAAUUUAGUAAAAAUUAGUUGAGCACCUCUAUUUGGGAUUUAUUUUUUAUUAAAUUUAGGGAUAUUUUUAUGAUUAUAAUUUUUAAUUUUAAAAGUUUUUUAAGAUAAAAUGGUCUUUUAAUUUAUUUAGGGGUAAAAUUGUCAUUUUAUUAAAAUUAUUUAAUAGUGUUAAUGCAAAAGUGGCUAAUUGAUAUAAAUGUGAAAAAUAAGGUGGUGCAAAAUAUAUGUUAAAAUUUUAUAGUGGUUGGAUAAGCAUAAAUAAAAGUAGUGAAAUGAUAAUUUUCCUUUAUUUAUUUAUUUAUUUAUUUGGAGGUGUUUUACUUUCAAGUAUGCCAGCAGGAGCAGAGGCGCAGGUAACUAAGCCAUGUUCGAGUGACUAAGUGUGCCAGAUGGCUUAUACAUGGCCCAACGGAAAUCCUACUUGCAGUUAGAAAUAAAAGAUGAAAAUCAACAAAAUUGAUGGCUUGUAGCCGAUUUCUUGCAGUUGAAAUAAAAGAUGGUCAUCUUAACAUAAACAUUCAAGUACAAUAGAGAAUUAAGGACAUUGUAAGCAGAAGAAUCACUAGCUGAUUUUGCUUGAAAUACAAGAUUACAGAAAGUGCGUGAAAUCUUAGUUUACGUGCUACAUGAUUACUUAUUCAAGUUCAGUCAUCACCCAUCAGCUGUGAGAUUAGUUGCAAAAAAAAAAAAACUCAGAAAAUUUUCUAUCAGGCCAUGUCGUGUUUGUUAAUUAAUCUUGACAUAAUUAACUUAAUUAUUUAAUCGUGACAUAAUUAACUUAACUAUUCUCCAUACUCAACUGCAGCUUUCCCAUUAAAUUAAGUUGGUUGCUUACUGAACAUGAUCAAACCCGCCUACCAUUUACAGCAUUUCUACUUUUGCUUGCAUGUAUUGUUCAUGAACAAGGAUUUGUUUGGUCAUUUCUUAUGAAUGAAAGCCAUAUACUAGGUACAUUGAUUAGGAUAAAGAGUAAGAAACGACUAUACAUUCUUAAUUUGGAAUAGAAACUAAGCAAACCAAAUCAGACUCCUUGCUGCUUCUGUUUUAUGGGGGCCGAUGAUGAACCAAAAGUAAGAAGCCAAAUAAAUAUCAAAAGAAAAUUUUCAGUUUUAAGGCAUAGUAGGGAUCGCAAAAGAUAUCAGCAAAGAUUCCGUGUCACAUGAAAAAAAGCUUCAAGCCCGAGUCCUAAUAAAGUUAACUUCAUUGUGGCAAUUAAAAUGAUACUAAUUAAGGAAAAAAAUUAAAAUUUUAAAGUGCAACAAAAAUAAAAAGGUAAUGUGUAAUUUCAUGGGCAAAUGAUAGCCAAAUACGUGAUAGUAAUAGUUUGGUUUCUAUAAUAUUGCCGGCUCAUAACCGCUGGAUAUAAGGUUUUAUUAUUAAUAUUUUCCAAGUCAACAGCUGUCAACUCCCUAAAACUAAUAACAGUAAAUGGACUAUAACUAGAAAAGGUAUUCAAACUUUAAGCAAAGAACUAUCAUUCUCCUAAAUUAAAAGGGUAUCUAAAUUAUGUCAUUAUCGAUUUGUUUAUGUUAACGUUAGAUUGACAGCUGCGGUUGAGAACGAAAAAUAGUCUCAAGUGAUGUUAACAUUACAAGUCAUAUGACAUUAACAAUCUCUAAAUAGGCCUAUCUUUAUUUGUUAGUUUCUAAUUAAAUAGAGUAAGUAAAGGUUUAAAUCUAAUUUCACCUGGGGGCAGGGGAAGCCACAUAUUGAAAGGUGUAGAAAAAGUUUAUCAUUAACAUAUAUGGGUUCUGUUACAAUGAAGAAUUAUAGUCAAAAUGUCAGCAUUCUGGUUGUUGCAACAACAAUUGUUUUUGCUUCAAUCACGGCUACCUGCGGCUCUACUGCUACAAUUCCCAAAGAUUUCUCCGCUGCUGUUCUCAUUAGAGUUGAAAAAUACGGCAGAGGAGAUUUUAGGACCAUACAAGGAGCCAUUGAUUCUGUACCAGAUAACAACUCAGAAUUGGUUUUCAUUUCGGUUGCCCCAGGAAUUUACAGGUCAACAAUUAAAUGUUACAUCUCUUCUUUUAUAUAUUUUCAAUUGAAUUUUUUUCGUUUCAAUAACUAGAACUCAUCACACAAUUUCUUCUAUAUGUUUACAUGUGCUUGGUCAUAUAUAUUCAGAGAAAAGAUUAUUGUGCCUGCUAAUAAGCCUUUCAUAACAAUCAGUGGCACAAAGGCAUCUCACACCAAAAUAACAUGGAGUGAUGGUGGCUCCAUCCUUGAUUCUGCAACUUUCACUGUGUUGGCUUCUCAUUUUGUUGCGCGAUCUCUAACGAUUCAGGUACGUAUUUGCUUUGCAGUAUUCGUAUAUGAUGAAGUCCUUGAUUGCUAGAUAUCAUUUACGUAUAUAACUUAUACCUUGAUAAAUUAAUAUGUUACAGAACACAUAUGGAUCAUACGGCAAAGCAGUUGCGCUAAGAGUCUCUGCAGAUAGAGCAGCAUUUUACGGCUGCAGGAUUCUGUCUUACCAACAUACACUGCUAGAUGACACUGGAAAUCAUUAUUAUAGCAAAUGCUACAUCGAAGGAGCCACGGAUUUCAUCAGCGGAAACGCUAACUCCCUCUUUGAAGUGAGUACUCAUUCUCAUUACGCUACCUUAAUUUCCAACAUGAACACUUAAUUAAUUAAGUUUCACAACAUUGACUCAUGACCUUAAUUUGCAGAGAUGCCUUAUACAUUCUCUUUCCACGUGGGGCGGAGCUAUAACUGCUCAGAAAAGAGUGUCAUCAGAGGAAAACACUGGAUUCACUUUCUUGGAUUGCAAGAUUUCCGGCGUUGGUAAGGCAGUGCUUGGAAGGCCCUGGGGUCCUUAUUCUAGGGUUGUGUAUGCCCUGACUUACAUGUCCGAUGUGAUACUGCCCCAAGGAUGGAAUGAUCUGAACGACCAUGCCAUGCAGAAGUAUAUCAUUUAUUCAAUUAAUCUGCUUUAAUAGUAUGUGUACCAAAUUGAAAUUAACCACAUACAGGCCAGGUGUUUAACUUGUUUCAUUGUUUUUGAUGUGUUGAUUUUGCAGAAAGUUGUACUACGGUGAAUACAGGUGUUCGGGUCCGGGAGCUGAUAGAUCAAAAAGGAUUGCUUGGUCAAACAGCUUAUCAGAUGUUGAAGCAUAUAUGUUCUUGUCCAAGGACUUGACUGGUGGGGGAGCUUGGCUUAGAAAUGCAGCUCUCAAAUUCAAGGAUGAUUUCACAAUUAAUGAUGCAAACACUAAAGGGAAUAGAUAGCAUUUUUUGUUCGUUUCUGAUUUGUUUAAUUUCACUUAAUUUUUGUAUUACAUUUUAAAAAUAGGUAUAAAUAAUUAUUCAUUCAUUCUUUAAAAUUUUGAUAACUAAUAAAGAGAGUAAUAUUAUCCAAGACUUGUAACCAUGUGAUAAUUGCGUAGAUCAUCAAACAAAUCACAAUGUUAUAAAACACAAAUGAAAUACCUGCUUGUAGUCAGGGGCGGACCCAGGACUUAUAAUUAUCCAGGGCUAAAAGCAAACAUAAAAAUUUAUAAGUAAAAAGAAAUACAUUAAUUAAGGGGGAACACUAAGAACUCUAUCCCCAUAAAGAUGUACUAUAAACAAAAAUAAUUAUAAAAAAAGAGUAGAAAACAAAAAAUAAUUUAAAUAUCAAAACUCUAUUUUUCAAUUAUGGAAUCUGACAUUGCAACCUAUAAUAACAUGUAAUUAUAUAAGGAUUAAGAAAUCAAUUAAGAAUCCCAAACUAAAAUAGAUUAAUAUAUGUAAUUACAAUCAAUUAAAAAUUACAAGUAAAACUUUUAUGUUUGAAAUCAAGUACUAAAUUACCAUGCUUAAUAAAUUAAACAAUUAAAAUUUAUUCAUCCAUUCAAAUUAUAAAAGUAUUAUUAGUUAAAAUUUUUAAUAAUAAACUAAACUCAAUUCAGUAAAAAAGUACCUGGAUGCAGUUGUUUCUUUGUCAGGUGCUAUUUCUCUUUUUAAAGAACUAGAUGUUGAUAAUACUUCUAUCAAAAGCUCCUUAAAAUAUUCAAAUUUUAUUUUCUAACUUGUCCUCCUAAUUAAUGGAACUAAAAAAUAAAGUCUGAAAAUUCAUAUAAAAAAUUUAUGAAAAUGUUGAUAAUUGUUACUAUAUGUUGUUUUUAUAAGUAUUUUUAAUACCAUUGAUGAUGUUAUAUUACAUUGACAUACUUUUUUUUCAAUUAGAAGUUUUUUAAAAUAAAUUAAAGCAGUAAUAAAAUUUUAGCUCCCUAAUAUUUACAAUCUAUUCAAUAAAUAUAUAAUUUAAUCAUUUUAUAAAAUAAGUCACUAAUUUCAAUUGAAAAUAAUAUAAUUGAAUUAGGGACAUAUUUGAAUAUAAAAUAAAAACUCUAUUGUUCUACUAAAUUGAUGAAAUCAUAAGGGCAGUUGAAUUAGGGACAUAUAUGAAAAAAAAAAAUCUCUCAUUUUACUAAAUUAAUAAAAACAUAAGGGAUAUAAAAGAUUUUUUUUGGAGCCCGGUCUAGCCCACGCAUAGAUCCGCCACUGCUGGCAAUCUUAUUAUUAUAGUCCUUGCAAGUACCCGUAUUUUUUAAAAUGUCAAUUCGGAGUUUUACAACAUUGUAAAAGGCUUUCACAAUUUUAUAAAAUCCUAAAUCUAUAUUUAAAAAAAUGAGGACAUUCUCAUCUAAGAGUCAUGGGCGUGCGGUAAUAGUUCCAUAUUCAUUUGAAUCAACCUAUAUGCUCCAAUUUUUAAUAAGAUUCCAGCUAGAAGCGUACAAUAAAUGUUGCCACAAAUAUUAUGAAUAUUGUUCUUCAUUGUAGCAGAACUCAUGUUGAAUUGAUGAUCAACUUUUUUCGUGUUGAUGGAGUUGUAAGGGAAUAGACUCUUGAAUUAACAAAAUUAGUCACAGAAAUUGCUGAUGCAUUAAGGUUAAUUUGUACACCUUUUUAUAUUAGACCUGCCCAAGUUAUAUGACUUGUAAUGUCCACAUAUCUUAAUGAUAGUUUUCCAUUCUCAGGCCCCAAAUUUCAAUCUAAAGUUAACAUAAACAAAUAGAUAUUGGUUCAAUACAGAUACCUUUUAAUUCAGAAGAAUGAUCUUUCCCGUAAGUCUAAAUACCGUUUUUAGUAAUAGUCCAUGCUGUUAGUUGUCUCAAGCACUUGUCGGCUCUUUACAUUAUAUCCGACGGUCGUGAGAUAGCAAUAGGAACUACAAUUAGUAUUUCUAAAUUUUAUACUUAUAAUGGCCAAAAUAUCAUUAUAACAAUUAAAGGGGUAGUUGGCUAUCAUUGCCCAUGAAAAUUAUAAAUUGAUUUUUUUUUGUAUUUAACAUUUAAAAUUUAUUUCUUUGCAUAAUUUUUAUUAUGACAAUUAUGUGGCAUAUGUGUAGCUAUCCCUCUUCAGGGGGGUGGCUUUAAGUAUAGGCGAACAAGGUGAUUGCCUAAGGCCCUAUAUUUUUUUAAGGCCUCAUUUUUUUUUAGUAUUUCGUAAUAGUUAUUUAAUUAAUAAAGAUCUUUUUUUUUUUAAUUAUGUAUUGUAGAAAAGCCUAUUAGACAUCUUUAUAAUUAACGGUUAUACCACAACUAACAAUUAUUUUUUCUGUAGAAAAUCAAUAUUUGGUAACUUUAAUGUUCAAGAGAUAUAAUUAAUAAAAUUGUUUAGCCAUUAAUUCAUUCAUUAUUAGUUUGUCCAAAAAAUUAAAUUAAAUUUUUUACCUUUUAAGUUUCCUAAAAAAAAUUAAAUUCUUUGAUUUUUAAUAUUCCUUUUAAUUUCCAUUAAAACCUUGUAAUAUAAAAAAUAAUAAAUAAAUAGAUUUCUUGGUCUUUUUUUUUACGAAUAGAAUUAUUACAUUCAUUGAUUCAUUUAAAAAAGAAAAAAAAUUAGUUUCUUAAAAUACAAAGUGCAUAUCUAUUAUUUGAUAAUUAAUUCAUCAUCUCAACUUUCUACUAUUCUAAAUAUUCUCUUUGAAAAUAAUAUUGUUUGUAUUUAUUUGUUUGUUUAUCUUUGUAAUAAUUUUAAUGGAAGUAAAAAAUAUAUCUUCUUGGUUAUUUUUUUAGGUUUGGUUUUUGAAAAUUUUUAAGAUAUUUUUUAUUACUAUUAAAAUUCAAGAGUUAAAAGUCGUAUGAAUUUUUUAGUCUUAUAUUUCAUUAAAUAUUAAAAUU